UGAGAACAACAUGCUCCUAGAGUGCAAGUGAACCCACCAGAGAUGGAAAGGUGGGUAAUGGGAUGGAGAAGAAGGUGUCUGUUGUAUGGCUUGCUGUAUUUAAAACUGGGUCUCUUUUCUUCUUGACUUGUGUAUGGAUAUUGGCUUUGCUUUAGCUGCUGAAAGCCCUAAUUAAAAUCCCAUGUAUUUUGCAGCUUCAAAUCUAGUGGGAGCCCUUAUUAUAAAUGGACUUAUUUUGAGGGGAAAGUUAUUCUUUGUGAUCUGUGAUUGCUCUCAUGGUUUCACGCAUCCAUUGUCAUUAUUUUCAUGGCUUUCUUCAGGAAGUGUUAGCUUGGCCUAGGUGCAAUCAUUAGUUCUCAUGGCUUGUUUUGAAGGAUGGGUAAAAUUGGAGAGCAUUUUAUUCUUGCAUCAGUCUCUAGAAUCUUACCAUGAAGAAAUCCGGAUACAUAUAGUGCACUUUUACUAGUACAGCAACAAAAUGAUGGCAGCUUGAUGCAGGAGGCCUUGGAAUAUAAAAUCAUGUGGAUUUUGAGAUCUUGGUGGGUUUUGUGUUGGUGAAAGCUGAUGAAACAUUUUUGAUUUUGCUGAUAGACAAAUAGACAAUACUAAUGGAUGUAUGCAUGCCAUGAAUCAUCUAAUUCUCAAGACCGAGAGGCCGCUCUAGAGAACAGGAAGCUUAUAAAUGUUAUAUGAACAGUGUUCAAAUUUUCAUGAUCUGGAUUUGGUAACAACAACCGUUAUUAACUUACGUUGGGAACUUGGGAUGGUGACUGCAAACCUCGAAAUGAAACCCUCAAAUAUUGGUUGAUUAGAUGAAUUAUUAAACCCUUAAGUAAACUAUUUUAGAGCACCUCUUCAUCUUCUUGGUGGUUUACAAAAUGUGCUCCAAUGUUACAUGAGUAGAUGAAUCUUAAAUGCAUUAAACCUUGUAAAUGCUGCAUUUCUAGGUACCAAGCACCUUGGUAGUGAAUGUAAGUGUAUUGGAGUAAUAUCCAGUAUUCAUGGUUUAGAUUGGUGACGACUCCCCUUGCUACUCUACCUAUUCUGUGGUAUGGAUUCAAUGCAUGAAUGGAAAAACAUCUGGAGCCUAAUUUUAUAGCCAAAGGUGUGCUUUUGGGAGGCCUAUAAAGCUGAUCUUAUUCAAUGGACGCGAGCACCAAAGGGCACAGUUGGAGUUGAAGCGAUGGAAGAUCCUUGAAUCAUGAGUCACAUUGAAAUCCGAAAGAGGCUGGGGGCAUCUCCCAUCCUAAAGUUUAGGAUCUGAUGCCAGUUUCACAUCCUAUUUUUGGGAUGUGGAAGAAAGGAUAAUUUGAUUUUAAUUAUUCGAUCAUUUUUCAUAUUUCGUUCCAUUCAUUUCAUCUUUUAUUUAUAGGUGACGUCCAAUAUUACUAAUAGUUGUUUUGGCUUUAAGUAUUCGGUCAUUUUUAUAUUUUAUUUCUUUGCAUUUUUUAUUUUAUAGUUUAUUUAUGAGACUACUGAAUUUAGAGGUGGCAAAUUGUUUGAGUUGGGUUAGAUAAGGAUCGGGGCAAAUAUUUAUCAACUUGGAUCUGACAUAUUUAUUAAAGAGAUCAAAAAUCGAAAACUGAGCCUAAUUCUUAGGUAAUUAUAACCGCUCAUAUCUACAGCAAUGUAUCGAAAUAAGCACUUGAUGGAUGGGGUUAUAGAAACGAGCGGCUGUGAUUAACAGCAUGCACAACUACAUGGUGUACAUGAUGUAGGAUAUAAUUUUUGUAAACUUGGUGAUGGAUAAAACUCAUGCCAAGUAAAUGUCAUGUAUCAACGUAUAACUAAAGAGAAUUUCUCAAGAAAAAUAAUUUGGUUCACCAACAUUUUGGCGCUAGUUAGACCAAAACCAACAUUGUAUUAGCCCCAGCAACCAAACUAACCAAAUCUAUUUUUAGGAAAUUAUGAGAAUAUUUAAAAUUUUCACAUGAAAUCUUUCUUUUUAAGGAGGAGAGAGAGAGGAAGAAUUAAAAGGGAUCCUGAAUGCAAUUUUACUAAUGGUAGCAAAGGAUAUAGGAGAGAGGAAUAAGAAGGAGAUAGCAAAUUGGCAUUUUUGGUGUAUAGUUUCCUUCCAUACUAUUUGAGAUAAAAGAGUAUUGCAUACUUCCCUUAAUUUCUUUUACGUUUAAGCAAAAAUAAACAAUUAUCUUCUAUUACAUUUCCUUUGCGAAACCAUCCAUGUGAUGGAAGAGUUGAUGGUGUCGUAUAAGUAAUUAAGUCGUCACCUUUCUCCAAUGUCAUCACUUCAAUGGAGGUCAAUAAGGGCAUAAAUGAGUUCCAAAGACCUGGUGCGGUUACAAUGUGAGUCAAACUUACGGUUGCCCGAAUUUUGAGGUGCAUUCUCUCUCGUGAGCCUGGUCCCAGGUAAAGUCCAGGCUCCAGAAGUUCUCAUCAUCCCCAUGCAAGGACCAUCAAUGCAUCCAGAGCUCCAACCACAUGCCCCAUGCUAAAGACCCAUCUUGUGCCAAAUUUCUCUAUAUUUUAUCUCUGUAAGUUUUUCUGUCUUUGAAAAAAUAAUAAUAACCCUUUUUGAAAGGCUGGGCUCCAAAGCUAGUGCCUACACCCACCUCCACCCAUCAUUCCACCCAGCUACAAGCGUGCCAUUUGUUUAUCUUACCUACCCCACUCUUUUCCUCUUCUAAAACCCCACCCUUCCCCUUCCACUCCCCUGCUUCAAAGCCAUUCUCUUAGCACUAGCCAUUGCCUUGAGUCUCUCUUGCAUUCCACUAGUUCUUUCUUGUUAACAACAAUGGUUUGGGCUGGCAAGCGUGCAUGGGUCCUUGCCGUUUGGCUCAGCCUGGCCAUGGUGCAUGGGGAUGGGGCUCAGGUGGGUGCACCCUCACCCUCCAUGGACUGCACCUCUGCCCUUCUCAACCUGGCUGACUGCCUGUCCUUUGUGGAGGAAGGGAGCAAGGUGACCAAGCCCCAGGGGCAGUGCUGCUCUGGCCUCAAGAAGGUGGUCAAGGAGGAUGCGGCCUGCCUCUGUGAGGCCUUCAAGGGGAGUUCAGACUUUGGGGUCAGCCUCAACAUGACCAAGGCCCUGACCCUCCCCUCUGCCUGUGGGGUCUCCACCCCUCCAUUCAGCAAGUGCAAGAGUGGGUCCUCUUCCUCUCCUUCCUCCCAUUGCUUGGUCCAUAUCAGCAGCACUGCUUUUAAGCUAUUUUUCUUUUGGCUUUUGGGUUUUGAUAAACGAGGUUGAAGAAGCUAAAACUGGUUGCUUUUUUUCUGUUGCAGUUGCAGUUGCUGGUGUGCCUGGUGCAGCCCCUGGUAUGUUUCUUCCCCUGGGAUAAAUCAUGUCAUAAUUACAUCAUUGUUUUUUUUUUGUCUUCUAUUCUGCUUUUCCAAAAUAUAAUUUCAUCUCAUUAUAAUUUAAAAUGUCGACUUAAUCUUAUUAAUAAAUUAUUCUUCCUCUUCUUCGUUUUUCUUCUUCUUUUUAUAUAAAGGAGACCGCCAUCGGCAAUAAAUUUCCGUCGGACAUACCGUCGUUAUGUUUUCUAAGCUAUAUUUGGGAGGUCCAUAUAUUAGAAAUUAAUAAAAGGAAGUCCUCUCUGUCUCAGAAAAAUCAUGGUGCAUGCUUUUAUAAUGCUCAUCCGACUGCUAGUAAUUCUUUCUUGUUUGACUAGCUUUUUCUUCUAAAUUUUAGAAUGAAAUAGUGGAAGAUAUAUGUUAUAGACUUACACUAAUUACUAACCCUUACAUAAACGAAAACUAUGGGUAAUCUCUCUUCAAUAAUAUUAUGUCUUUGAACAUUAUAAAAACAAUAUCGUACAUUAUUUUCUAUAGUUAUUUCGAACUAUGAUCGUCAUAAUACGAUGGCUGCUAUUUCAACUGGCUAUAACGGGUAUGACUGCUGCUUGAACAUUGAUGACGGUCAUUUAUUUCUAUUGAGUUGAAAAUAUUUGUCGAUAUAUUUCAUAUUUAGAACGCAAGUUUCAGCCAGAAGUGCAGUCCUGAUGCCAGUCUUGUAAUCUUGCAGCCCCAUCUCCAACCCCCGGAGGACUAUUAAUCCUCCACUCCAAGGCCAUUCCACAAGCACCAGCCAUUUCCCAUACUCUUUUGUUGCAUUUCAAUUUAUCCUUGCUGAGUUUCAGUGUCCGGAAGUGUUUCAACAGUCCCAGCUCCAUCACCAGCGCUGUCAGGUGCCCGAGCGUUGCCGGUUCCAUCGUUCAUUCUUGUUGCUGCAGCAGCGGUUGCUCCCUUGUUUUACUACAUUUAACUCCAUCUCUUGCAUCCAUGGAUCUCUUUUGUAAUCCAUUUGAAACGGGUCUAUUUGCUGUUGGUGUUUAGAGUUGUAUCUCGGAGGGUUCCUCCUCGUUAUAUCGAGCCCCCAGUUUGAUAGUUUCUUUACAUACAUAUCAAUCAACUAUCGUUUAUUUUUAGAUUGUUUUAAUGCCAGAAGAGUUAUCGUUCGGACUGUCGGUCUGUGGCUGAGAUAUUUCUGAACCCACGUAGCCAGACAAGUGAACUUAUGAAAAACAAAUGGUGAAAAAGUUCAUGUCGACCACCUUCCCAUAUUUAUAUGGCUGUGAUUGAAACUCGGAAUAAGAAAAAAAAAUAUUGACAGAGACGAGAUGAUAACUAGUUUAUGUUAGAUUUGAAAGCAGAACAGCUAAUGCAUUGACCAAACACUGGGAAAUUUAUUACACAGCCCAAAACUUGAGCCGAACACAAAGUCCAGCAGCUCAGAGUUGAAAUUAACCAGAUUACACCUUUUGUACCCUCCCUUCUAUUUGCACAAGUAGACUGCCCGCACCACCAAAACCAUAGUGCAAAUAAGGAUUUAAAUAACUACGGAUUCAUGGAAGAUGAAGUCAUAAGUCCGAUCGCUGGACGAUGGAAACAAUGACGGUCACAUCGUCGAGUUUGCCACCGGUAAAACCAAGGUAUCCAGCUGCAAGGGCCGCAUCAGCAAAUGGACUUCUCGCCGAUGGCGAUCUUCCGACCUCCUGAGCCCUCAGUGCCAGGAACUCGGCGAUUUCCUGGAAAAACUAAAUUGUAUGAGAAAAUAAUGCUUAGAUUGAAAUAACUGAUGGUAUGGUUGGAUUCACACCGUAGGCUUGAGGCUGGCCCCAAGGGACUUGGAUACCAUUGCUGCUACUUCCUGUUCGUAUAGAUUGUCGAACAGGCCAUCCGUUGCGGUCACGAUUACAUCCCCUUCAUCUAAAUCAAUUGCAUAGACCUGAGAUUGAAUACAUUUAAAUUGAUUGUAAUGUUCUUUUGAGACCCUGACACCAAGUUUCCUGGUAACACCUACUAGAACUGCUGCAAUGGGAAUUACUGUACCUCUAUAUACUUUGAAGGAUCCUCUCCUCUUUCAAUCUGCAGGGGGAAAUUGAAUCCAUAAACCAUCGGGGUGGACUUCUUCAAAAUUGUGCCAUUCCUUAUCACAAUAAAUCCUGAGUCUCCAAUAUUGACCACAUGAAGAACCUGUAUUAAAUUGAUAAUUAUAAGUGUCAAGGACUCUCCAAAGUUCAAAAGAAAAACCAAAGUAACUUGACUUCAGAUGCCAUAAUGAAAACAAAUGAUUUCGGAUGCUAUAAUAGAAAAGAGGACUGCAUUAAUCACAAAUUCCCAGUUAGAUUGUUAACAUCACGAGUUAAUAUCGCUAUUUAUCUUCUCAAGAACACACCUGUCCAUCAAAAUAAGCAACCAGAACAGUAGAUGAACCAGGAGAACGAGCUUCAGCGGCACUCUGAAUUAGAAUUUGGUCAGGUUUAGUUCCUGGGACACCUUGACAUUCUGAAACUAAUUUCUCACAGUUCUGCAUCAGUUCUCGAGCAUAUAAUCCUGCAUUGAUUCCUAAAAGAGUAACAGAAAAAUUAGAUCAGAUUAAAAAUAUAUAAUAAAAAAAACAGUAUAAGGAUUCUUUUUUGGGAAAGAUCCCAAAUAGCCACUAAACCAAAAAUAAGUUUGUUAAAAAUGAGAUUUUGCCGUUUCUCCUAAUUCCUCAACUUUUUCAUGACUUGCAAAUGCUAGCAUGUGUGCCAUGAGCAUAAGAAUGUUGGAGGACAUGGUUGUGUCUUGCCUACCACAAAGCCAACACCGUCUGUGUUGUUUUGAACCAACAGGAAUUUCCCCAACCAUCCAUGGUCAGUGCCAUCUUUUCCUUAUUAAUUCCUAUCUAGGAUUACAUGUUUCAUCGCAAGGAAUUUCAAAUCCUUCCCAGAAACUCCGUUAUGGUUCCUUAUGCACAAGCAUGGGCACAGGGUUCAAUCAUGGAUGACUGCAUGUCUGACUGCACAAGUGUGUCUAAGUUUGCACAUGUGCACAUGUGCAUGGGCAUGUAAGCAAACAUGCACAUGCAUGUGAGCAUGACCAUGCAUGUGUAAGUGCAAGCAUGUGCACAUGCGCAUGCACAUGCAUAUAUGUGUGGCAGUCGUGUGUGUGCAUGAAUAUGGAUACAUGAGAAUGGGGGAGUGGGGUUGCGUGUGACCCAGUUGUUUGCGUGCAUGCAAAUGUGUGCAAUGGGAUUGUUAUGAGAUUUCCGCUAUCAAAUCAUGUUGCAAUUUUCUAAAUGAUAGAAGACUGAUUAUCACCAGAUAAGGUGACUUCGAAUCACAAUAACUGCUUUUAAUGUCCAAGCUUUUCUUUGGACCAGCAUUUUGGAUUAACUCAUAAUCAUCAAGAUGUGUGAGGAUACCAAAGAAUACUUUUCCUCUUUGAAGAAAAAUGGCAUCUUUGCUUCAUUGGUUUCCCUCGAGCUUGAGAGGUCAUAUCCUCUAUAAAUUUUGAAAUUUACUAUGUCUUGAAGAAUGAUGUAAAUAUUGGCUACUUCACUAAGUCAUCUGAUCUUUGAUGAAAAAAGCCAGUUUGUAGCAUUGGACCUCAUGGGAAGGGUAGAUGGGGAGGGAUGAGAGUUUGAGAACAUCUAUUUUAGAGAGAGAGAGAGAGAGAGAGAGAAAGCAGAACAGCUAAUGCAUUGACCAAACACUGGGANNNNNNNNNNNNNNNNNNNNAGAGAGAGAGAGAGAGAGAGAGAAUUAUUUUCCUUGCUCGGUCUAAUGAAGAAAGCAUUUUCCUACAUUUGAUUAAUUUAUCUCAUUUCUUUAAAGAAAUUAUCUUUGCUGCUCCAAAAGAUUGCUACUUAGAUUGAGGUAUGUUUAUCAAAUCACAAUGCAGAAUCCAAACUUUAACCGUAUUCAUGAUGAUGAAAUAUGUUAGAAACAUUGUUGUGCCAGAAAGAUGAAGUACAUAACUACUAGCUAAAAGAAAACAGAACAUAAACUUAAGCUUUUAGAAAGAGAAAUACCUUCUAGUGACCACUGACCUACUCCAUCAGCUACGCCGAACCAGUUUUUGCAUGCCACAAAGUAUGCAUCUUCCCCACCUGUCAACGCCUGGCAUUAUUAUUCUAAUAUUACUGAGCGUGGAUGUUUUCUAAUAGCCCAAACCAAAAAGGGAAAAAAGUAAUUAAAUUGUCCAACAUGUUCCACUUCUAAAACGAACAUUUCAAAUGGUGAAAUAUAUAAAAUAUAUAAAAAUUAUUUUAUAAAGAAUGACGAAUUGUAAUAUAUCUGAUUGUAGUGUUUAAAGAAAAAAGAAUUUUGUACAAGACACGUUGAAGUUGUAUGCCAUUUAUCUAAAGAUGAGAUAGAAGAACCUUUUUUUUGUACUACAACAUGCAUUUCCACUCCCCUAGUACGGAGAGCCUCUUGUAACGAUAUCAUUUAUGCUCAUAUACACUUCAGGCACAUUAGGUAUAAUUUGACAAAACACAUAAUUUAUGUCCUCCAAAUAUUGGAUUAACCAUUCUGUUUCGUUGGUUAUUUUCUUCUUAAAACUGAUGUACAUUAGGAGAAAGUAGCAGGCAGUAUAAAACGUCCAACACCAACCUAGAGCAUGGUUGCUUGCUUGCUUGCUUGCAUGCGUCCAAAGGAAUAUCAAGCAUGCACCUCUUGGAUGGUCUUGGACAUUGAUGCCAUAGUAUGUUUAAAUUUUUAUUUUACUAAUCGUCCACUUUUAAAGCGGCUUAACUAUCCUUUUGCUUCAUAAAUAUUGCUUUUGCCUACAAGUCUAAAUGCUGAAAACACUGUAUGGAAUUUUCUUUUAGUAUCAAUAAUGCAAUCCCUCAAAUUCCAAAUUCCUCUAGUGAUUAGGAAAAGGCCAUAUAGAAGCCCCACUUUGCGCAUUUUUUUCACCAUUUGCUCCUUUGACCAAGAAUAUAGGCACUUGCAACAUCAAGGAAGCCUACGGUAUCAUGCUACUGAAAGCAAUCAAAGAUUGAAUUAUGGAUCAUUAUUUCAACAAGUCAAAGGAACCAAGGAGGUAUUCAGAUGGACAGUAUGUCAGACAAAAACAGGAAUGUUGACCUAUCAGUUUCUUGCUGAAAAGGGUUAAGAUGGUUCAGUUCAGGAGAGGCAUGGUGGGAGAAAUGGAGAGAUCAUGCAUGGUAGAGAUCCUAGAAAAGUUACAAUUGUGCAAAUCACCUUGAAAGGACAACGUACAUCUGUAUGAAUAAGUUUUAGACAGUACAUAUCAAGUUAAUUGAUUAAUCUAAAUAUUAAAAUGAAAAAAAGGGAUGAUGAGAUACUUACACAAUUUAGUCAAAUCAAAGACAUGAACCCAUGGCUAAAAAGGAAAAAGAAGUGAAGAAUGGGACUGCAAGGGGAAAAGAGAGGUUUCCUCCUCAGCUGUCUUCUAUCUUUUUUAUACCCAUUCCAUGUCGUACAAAAACCUUGAAAGGUUUCUCCUCUGCAGCAUAAGGUUAAUUAAAUAGCAACAAUCGCUACCGCCGGUUGGCCUUCCGGAUUUAGUCUAGGCUCCUCCUAAAACCCAAGAUCACUUUGAUUAGGAACUAGUCAGCAAUUCAUUGUGUAGGGUUUAAGUUUGACCAGGAGCCAGUCUCAGGAUAUCCUGUGAUUGUUUAUAGCCUGAUAAUAUCUUUAACUGUAUAUAACUGAGGCAAGGCUUCUUGGCUAAGGUUAAAAUUUAUAACUGAGUUGCCCUGCUCAUGACAAUAACAAUACAGGAACCCAAUUAAUGGACAUGGAAAGCAAAUUCACUUGCUGAUAUGAACUGCAUAUUUUCAAUAUCCAUGUUUAUUUUGAGUAUGGACGUAAUCGAAUUUUGAUAGUUGAAAAAGUAUAUAUAGUAGUCAUAUAUAACAUAUACGAUGGAAUAGAUCAUGAAAAUCUGGAUAGUCUAAAUUAAACAUAUAAAUAUAAUUAUCUAUUUUACUGUACAUUUCAAACUGUGAAGCUAGGUUUUAAAUAUUGGCGGGUCGACAAGGCAUCCCACCAUCCUGAGUAUUGGGAUGGUGCAUGUUAGGACAAGAUGGGUCAAGAAAUAGACCGGGAUGGGAUGAGACAUUAAUCAUCCCAAGUGUUGAUACAUGGGGCAUGCCAUUCCCCAAAAAAAAGGGACAGCCCUGUCCCAUGGUAUUUAAAAUCUUGCUCUAAAGUGAAGCAUUAUGAAGCUCCUAUUUCCAUGUUUCCACAGAUAGGUGUGUCACUUGUGCCAUACUCUAUACAAUCAUAACUAAACCUAAACUUGACAUUAAAAUUAAAAAAAAUCUACAUAUUAUGCUUAAAUCAAUAUGAAUAUCCAGACAAUACAUCAAUGUCCAUAUCGAUAUCUGAACUUGGAAAAAAAUUUCAGAAUCCAUACCCAUACCCCUAUCUAGAUAGAUAAGCAUAUAAAUAUCCUCAUCCAAUUUGAGACAUGAGCUGGAUAGAAUUGCAUCGUAUGUGAUCGAUUUCAGCUCUAUGCAAGCUUUUAUGAGUCUUCGAGGUGCUCCACUAACACAUUGAUGAUUAGCAGUCAUGUGAUCCAUUAAGAUGGAAAUAAGCUUCACUAAGACAGAGGUUCAAAUUUGAUAAUCCCCAGAAAUUAAUUAGUGCAAAGUACUCAAACAAUAAUUCAAAGUCAGGCGGAACCUCCAUAUAACAUACAUCACAUCUCUGAGUCACAAAUGAGAACAUGCACUUGUAGACAUGAGCNNNNNNNNNNUUCUGUCUCCCUAUAAUCAUUGUACAUGCUGAUGGAGAAAAGAUAUCGACUUUUUUUAACACUACUGCAGGCAUGACAGAACUAAUCGCAUAAACAAGGCUGCACAACAAAAAGGGCUUACCUUUGAAGGAUGUGGUAAGAUGGCAGCUCCUGAAGACAGGGAAAGUGAUGGUGCUGAUAUAGGAGUCACACUGGAUUGUAAAUGAAUUAGUCAAGAGAAUGAAAUUUCUUCUGACUUUAUAAUUACUAUAAGCAAUAUGCCAAGACAGACAUAUAAUAAACAUCCAUGCAUCAAACUAUAAAUAGACAAUGUUUAGACAACAAACGAUUCGUAUAAUUAUGAUACAAGUUGGAGUCUGAUCAAGAAUCCUAGAGACAUCUAGCCAGGAAUAUGUGCAACCCCACCUAUGGGUUAUCAUAGCAAUAUGCCACACGCAACCUCAUCAUUUUAGAUAACUUCAAGUUUAAUAAGAGAAUAAGCAUACCUGUUAGGACCAGCCACUUCAGCACUCCCAUUAUUCUGUUCAGUCAUUUCCAUAAUUUGGCCCUAUAUAUGUACCAAAAGUGAACUAAUAUCAGGUUCAAAUGACAGAUGUAGAAUUACCAAUUCCAAUACAACCAAAGAAACAGGAAUUCAAAGUUUAGAUCUUGAAUUGGAAAUGCAACUCAUCAUCCUUUGGGAUAUUGCUCACAAUGCACUAUAUGCAUGAUAAACAUUGGGAGUUACACAAUGCAAAACAUGAGCUCUCACAUAAACCAUUCAUCAUACUAAGAAGAAACAUCGUAAGAGAAAGUCUCACAAAGAUUUAUAUUUGGAUAUAAUCUCGCUACCAGGUAUAAACUUCUAGUGAUUCUUAAGCUGAAUGGUUAAGCUUACAUUUUUCAGGAGAAAAUUGAUUAAAAUCCUAAAUCCAUAUGAGGGUUAUAGGCUGAUAGAGACUAGUGAUCAUAGAACAAAACUUCUUGCCAUUAAUAGUAAUGGAGUAACAGAUAAAUACCAGAUUAGGAGAAGGUAAGGGAUAUGGCAUUAAGUUUAGAAAGUCAAUAUCAACAAUACAAUAUCUAAGUAUGAAUGCAUUUCUUUCUCAUCAACUGGUAAAAGGCCUUCUUUGAUAACUUUAAUGAUGGUAAUCUGAUACCAACUUCAAUAACAUAUAUUUGAAAAUUGAAUUUACUAUACCAGACAUAGAAUAAAUGAUGGCAAAAAGCUUUCCUAGUAUUGCAAGGCAUGAGUUUGAUCUACACCCAAAAUCAAUAAUAUCCUAGAUUAACCCAGACAUACAUUAUCUCAUGACUGCAGAUUAAAGAAUGGAUGUAGCAACGCACACUUGAAUUAAGAACAGCGGACCAUCUUAUCAAUGGAUUCUUCCUCUUCAGAAAGAUAUCAUAUCUCUGGGCAUUUAUGCAUUCAUUGCAAUUUACUCUCCAUAAAUUAUGAUUACGCUUCAUGUGCCAUCGGAAUAAGUAUGUUAUCCUGCAGCUCGCCAGCUAAGUGGUGCUCAAUUAUUUAUUAUACAUCAUAAUAUGCAUUUCUGAUUCCAAUCAAACAUGCUUUUUUAUUUAUUAUUUGGGCAGUUACCUUCAAAGACUAGCAGUAGGAAUAAUAUAAAAAUUAAUAUAUGACUUUGAACCCAAAAAAAAACUUUGGAAACAUUAUUGAAAUCAUUGAGAAGAGAGCAAAAGCAUAAAAGAUACAUAAAUAUAGCAGACAGAAAGCCGGAAGCUUACCACCAUUGAUCUUUCAACCGUAUUCUUCUUUGCUUGAUCUUCUAUAGAAGAGGAAUUUGAUUCAAGAUCCACAUCAAGGUCGGCAUCCAUUGCAUUAGAAACCUCUGAAGCCUCAGUAUCUUCCAAAAUACUUUCCAUGCUAUCAACUUCACUGGGUGCUGGAACUUCUGCGGCAAGGCGGAUUUCAUCACUGGAGUCACAUCUCUGAUUAUCCGUAUCAGAACUCCUUGGUUCUUGUAAAGUUUCACCCACAGAGUUGACUUUUAUAUCCUCGACAUUAAUGGGAAUUUCUGAUGUUUCCAAUGCUCUUGCACCCAGUUCAGAAUUUUUCACAAUUUCUGGAAUCUCACUGUUCUCUACAGCGAAAGCACUCUUUUCCUGAUGACUACCCAGAGGCUCCAUUGAUUCCAGCUCUGCAAUAUUAGGCUUUGAACUCCCCUUCUCCUUCUCUUGUGGAACUUCUUUAACUUCCAAAUCCAUAGUUUGCACUGUCUGAUCACCAUCCAAAACCUCCAUUCCUUCCAAUUUCUUCUCCGCCUUCAAGGAACCAUCCAAAUCGAUGAUCCCUGAGGUAGAGCAUUGUUCACUUACUUCUGUAGCCAUCGUCCUCAAUUUACCAUCACCAUGGGAAACAUCUAUCUCUCUCAGUUUCUCCAUCGCUAAAACAGCAACUUUCUCUUCUUUCUGUAUCCCACUAUCCUCUCUGCCUUCGCAAGACUCGAUUUUUGGAGCUUUUUCUACAGUCUGAGUACCUUCUCCGUCGCCACUCUCCAGAGAUACCGAUCCUUCCAGCUCAAGAUCGGAUCUUUUCACCGUUUCCUGAUCGAUUUCACCAAAUUCUCCCAUCGAAGAGCCUCUCACCUCCGUCUCCUCUGAACCCGAGCUAUCAGCCUCGAUCGCAACCCCGUCCUGCUUCAAUUCAGCAGCAUCACCGAAUCGAAAGAUGAUGCUCCCGUCCGAGCACUCUGCCCAAACCACCAAACUCCCAGUAAACAACAACAACAACAACAACAACAAGAACCAGACGAAGGCAAUAAAGCACGUCGAUCUCGACGCAAAGAUCCGAUUCAUGGCAGAGAAAUCGAAGCAGGAAGAAGGGGGUGAGGAUCUGGAGUACCGGUGGUAGAGCAGAUCUCGAGGGAGGGCGGGGUGGAAGGCCUCGCGAACGUGUGGGACGCCGGUCUCGGCCUCGCCGGCGGCGAUCCGGAGAGGGAGUGGCGGAGGGGAAGGAGACCCGGCGAGGCGGUCUUGUAGGAGACGGGUGAGAGACGGAGGUCGAGGAUGCCGGCGAAGGGGAUCUCUGCCAUUAACGACGGCGGCUGCGUCGGCGGACGGCGAGCUAGGGCUCACAUCAGAGAGCGAGGAUGGCCGAUGUUCGGUAUGUUCGGUAUCGGAGGCAGGAGGAGGAAAGGGAGAGGAUAACGAUGAGGGAGAAGCGUAGGACACGUGCCAGGGAAACGCCGUUCCUCGCAACGCCGAAGACGGUGAAAGUUGACACGUGCGAGUCCUGCACAGCUGGAGACCGGAGUCCGUAGUCGAGGAGCUUCUCGGCGGGUGCAUCCGAGAUCUCUUGCGGGGUCCUCCAAGAUCUACAUCCAUGUAACAUUUUUUGUAGGGCAUGACUUUGUCCGCCAUGUCCUCCCCUAGGUUUAAUAAUUGUUAUUUUACAUCACCUGUUUACCCCUAAAUAAGUAUUCUAAUUUAAACGUAAAGGUUUAGGCUUAAGAAGAAAACAAAGAUAUUAUCCAUUUAACUUUUAAUAGUUUAUUAUUAUUAGUAGUAUAAUAUUCUAUAUUUUAGUUUUUAACAAAUUGAUAAGUACAAAGUCUCUUGAGUUCAAGUUGAAUCGACCUCCAGAGGUAUGAUUAAGUGGAUCCAAUGAGGUACAUGGGAUAACAUGUUCUAUUGCGUGAUUUUCUUAACCUAUUCGAUGUUAGAUUAUUAUCUCUCAAUACAAAAGAUGAUGCUGAAAAGAUUAGACCGGCUCAACCACUAAUGCCAAAGUAGGUAAUAUUUUUAUUCGGAUUUUUUUUAUAUGAAUACCUUCCUAAAUAUCGAAUUUUGCAUGAAUAUCCUUCCAAAAUUAAUAUUUGCAUGUAUACCCUCGUCAAACACUUGUUUUGCCAUUCUACUUUUUUUUUAUUUUUGUUUUUACAUAUCUACCCAUACUAUCUAACGACAUUAAAAAAUUAAUGGUUUCAAAUUAAAAUGACUAAAAUAUCCUUAAUGGGUAGACAAGCAAAUAGAUCGCGAUUCCGAUAGCAGAAGAAGAACACAGGGACAAUAGCAUAAUUUUAAUUUUUUAUUUUAUUUUUAAUUAAUAUAAAUAUGUUUUUUCUUAACACCUUUAGAACAACCGCUAUAUUAUAGGUAUUUGUACAAUAAUAGAGUUUUACGAGGGUAUAUAUGUAAAUAUUAAUUUUGGAAUAGUAUUAAUGCAAAAUUCGAUAUUUAGAAGGAUAUCCAUGCAAAAAAAAAAAAACUUUUUUUAUUAUAAGGAAAAAAAUAACUGCAUUUAAGGAGGGCUAUCAUUUGUUGAAAUCUUAGUGUUUAUAAAGGAAUUAUAUCCAGGAAAUAAUAGCAAAGGCUUGUGCUAAUGCAGGGCGCAUGGAGUGAAUUGGAUGAGCAAAUAAAUCGCAUUAUAUUCUAGUAAUGAUGGUAAGAGGUAAAUGAUACAUGCCAUGGACCAGUGAUAAAGAUAAGAGGCAAAUGGUGGGUGGCAUUCAGAAAUCCAGGUAAUAGUUUCCCUUUUUCUUUUCCUGGUGCAGAAGUAAUAAUUUUCCUUUGGUUGCAACUUGCUGGUGAGGACGACAGAGUCACAAGAAGAAUCCACGUAUUAAAUGCAUGGCAUCACAAGAGUUAAUAAAUACAAAGACCGAUAGGUGCAGGGUGGAUCUACUAACUCUUUUUUUUUUCAAUGGAUGAAGAUGGCCUGAAUUUAUUUAUGGAUCAUGACACGACAUGGACGGUUUAUCUACGGUGUUUAUAAUGUAUUGGAAGUCAAUAUGGCGUGUUUCUUAGGCAAGGUGUUAUUAAAAGCAGUCGUGGGGCCCAUAUGGAAAUUGUGAUUGUUUUUUUUUUGGUAAAAAAAUAGGACGGGAGGAGGAGAGGUAGAACCUCACCCGCAUAGCAGUCCCGACUGGACCCUCCUUCCAUCAAAAAAUAUUCGAUGCAGAUCGCAAGUUUCCACAUGCCCUCUUCAACCCGUGGAAAACCCCACUGAGUCAUCCAUGUGUGAGUUUGUCACUCCAGCGCCACCUCAUUACUGAUGGAAGGAAAGCAUAUCCAUACAUAGCCAUCUGGACGUGGAGCAUGCGGUCCUCUGAUUUUAUCGAUGCCUACACGUUUCGAAUCCGGACAACUCGGAUGGAGUCCAAACCCCCUUACCACCAGACUACCACCUUGGUGGUAAACUGUGAGGUUUGAUACGACCGUCACCGCUAGGGGACCACGACAUUAUCUUCUUAUACUUUUUAUUAUUUUGUGAGAUCAAGAUAAGAGUAGAAAGAAAAAAAAAAGAUUUGCAUGUGUCUAAUCUCGAUCCUGAUUAAAAAAAUAUACAUAGAUAAUUAGAAAAUAAAAGAUCAUGCUUGUUGAUCUAUCUAGGCAUUAGAAAUGCAGCAGGUGCUAGUGGCGAAUGGCAUGUGGACUUUUCUACAUUCAAAUAGAUGGUUAUCGGCAUAUAUAUAACCGUUUCUCGCUCUCACUUUGGAAUAUUGAUCAAGAUAGGCUAGAAAUUGAGCUGAUACAAAAUGAAUAUAUUUGCCAAUGGCUAUUAGUUAAUUUGAUUGACACCUCUUCUUAGCUUGUUGAGGGAGGAGAUCUCGCAUUCAAACCUAGGUAUUACUUAAAAAACACGCAUUUUGAAACUCAACAUAAGGAGUAGAGGUAGUAAUUAAUCAAAAAUUUUAAGGUCAUUCCUAUCUAAAAAUGUUCAUUUUAUGGGAACCAUACUAUUAUUUUCAUGGAGUAGGAUGGUCAAUUUCCAAUCAAUAUAAAUAAAUACCUAUCUUAAUGUUGAAGCAGAUAGAGAGAGAUAGAUUUAAAUACUUUUAGAUUAUUCUGUCAUAGUAAAUUCGAUUAUGUUCGUCAACAAAAAACUUCAAGCUGGGGCAUCUAACAUGAUCUGAUCUAGACUACAAUAAAAUUUUCUAACAUAAAUUAAACAAUGUACCAUCCAAGAGUUGAAUUACCAAGUCACAAAAGAUAUACCUCUUUUCCUGGGUGGUGAAACUGGUAAAGAAUUAAUUAGAAAAGAAGAGGAAGAGCGUUGUCCAAACCCUGAACCCUAAGCAAACUCCAAGUAUUGUUGGUAUUAGGCAAGUAGCAGCCAAAAAUUAAUUAACCAAUGGCCUGGUUUCCUGAUCUACUGCAGACUAUGAUGCUUUUUUUUGGGUCCCUAUAAGCGAUUAAAAUAACCAAAAAAAAAAAAAAAAAAAAAAAAAAAAACAAAAUACUCCAAUCUCCCUCACAUGCAUCUCAUUCCUCCAAAUCUUAUAUUAUGGUCCCUAGCAAUGCCUUUAGCGUAAGGUUACUGCCACUCUCUUUCAAGACAAGGCAUCUGUGUAUAUAUGUGGGCCGAUCAGUAGCCCAAAAAGAACAUUGGAAUCACAUCUCUACCAUUAUGAUAUGCCUUGCUCAUGUCUACAUCAAUUAAUGUUCUAGAUUACAAGCCAUUUAAAUAAUAGAUUCAUAGUUUAUUAUGUAGAUGCUUUACCUGGAUGCCACCAAUGAAGCAACAGAGCCAGUUUGAUACAAGAUAAAUCAGCUAUCAAAUGGGCCAUGUCCAUCUUGAGAUGCUCCAGUGGACCGCAACCCGAUCCACUGCUUUUGUUUUUUCCUUUUCUUUUGCUGAGACAGAUGAAUGACAUGCAACUAGCAUGAGUACAUCCAAAAAAAAUCAGCAAACAAAAUAUCCGAUGAGUGGUAAAACCAUGCCGACUAUCCAUAGCAUCUCACCAGAGUAAUCGGCUACGAAAAAAGUAAUCUAGUCUGCAGCGCUAUUCGACGUCCGAUAAAAUUGAAAAAAUCCACUGCUUUCAGAUUCGUCAGAAGACCACUUCUAUUUAUCAUUAUCAACAAUGAGACACAAAAAAAGCAGGCUGGUUUAAAGAUCUUCCAUCUACUUCAUAUAUUGCGUGGGGAAGCAGAGGUAUCAGUCUGUGCAUAUGUUUCUGCCCCCCAACAGAAAAAGAUAAAAAAAAAAAGUUUUUACGCUUAUGGUAUAGGCAAAAUAAACUACAGUGCAAAGAUUCUAUAGUGGAAUGGCACUGGUUUUAAGCAGCGGCAACUGUUCCACCAUGGCUGGAUGCUUCAGAUCCUGCAGUUGCUGGAGAAGCAUCAGUCUUCAGAGAUGUCACCGAGCACUUCUCUUUCUGAUCAUCUAGGUUCAUUUGGUGCUGCCUGCGCUCCAGGCUGCAGAAUGCAAUUUCACCCCUGAGGACGCAAGGAGAAGUAGGUGAAUACAAGUAAGUCCAACCUACCUUACAAGAACAAAGACUAGGCAUCUCAAGUGGACCUCAAAGAUUGCAAGGUCAUUCUCCACUAAUCCUGGGAUUUCAUAGAGCGAAAUAUUUUGAUGAUCUAGAACAAGUAUAUGUAGAUGUAAGCAUGCAUGCAAAGAAAACUAUUCCCGUAAUAAUCUAUCAACGAAUCUUCAAAGUUCCAAUCAAUAAUGAAAUGAUAAUUCAAAAAAAAUUGUCAAGCUAUGAUACAGUCUUAGAUCUCUAGUUAUACUCUACCACUGCAUAUUACCAAGGGUCAAGACAAUAACUAACAACCUUGUUCCAACCACUCAGAUUGGCUUUUCAAACUUUUUUUUUUUUUGUAUGAAAGGGGGAUCAAAGAUCACCCGAAAUUUAUUAAAAAACCGAAAGAGCCAUGUACAAGGAGUUUGAAAUAUUUACAAGGAGAGGGACAGAAUUCUAAUACAGCAAGAACUCCUCUGCUGCACCUCAACUUGAAAUUACAGCACUUGAGUCAAUAGAAGUGCAGAAACCAUACAGCUAAGGCAAAAGGAUUGGAACUUCUGAACAUCAAUGGAGAAAGAAAAGGGAGUUUGGACAAUUCAGAGGAUUACCAACCAGGUUCAAUGAUUGCGGAAUGGUUGGGGAAUCAUCUAAGACCCAGAGAUGGGAUAUAAUCUUCUCAAUUUACCUCUCACUUCAGUCAAACCCAAGUCUCUUUCUCCUUGCAAAGAAUGGACCAAUCUGAAAGGAGUUGAACAGCUUUUCCAGCUACCCCUUCAGCCAAAGAAUGUUUGUUGAGAAAGAUACACGAAUUCCUCUCAGCCCAGGAGAACCAGCAAAUUGCUGCAAUAAACAUUUGAGUCACAGGUUGCAUCAUAGAGGAAAAAACAUUCUUCACCCAAGAGGAAUAAAGCUCGGUCUCGCAGUUUCAAUUCUACAAUUGUUCCAAACCGGCGGCAAAGAGGCAAAAACAUAUUUCCACAGCCUUGAACAGAACCGUUGAGGUUUCCAACAAGGUGAUAACUUUCCUAACGUAGGCCCCCGAGAUCAAUCUCCUCCAUGUACCUGAAUCAGCAUUCACCAUUCUCCACCCCCACUUAGCAAGCAGGCGGGAGUUAAAGGUUUGAAGAUCUUUCACUCCUAGCCACCUUCCUCCUUAGAUAGGCAAACCUCACUCCAAUUUAAUUUGCAGGAAAGCCCAUUUACUGAUUUUGCUCCCUUCCAAAGGAUGGCCCUCCUAAUCUUAUCAAGUUUCUUGAUAACCCAGGAAGGCAACUUGAAAAGGGGCAAAAAGUAAACCAGCAACAAGGAGAGGACAGCAUUAAUCAAAGUUAAUCUGCCACCAAAUGACAGAAAUUUACUUUUCCAAGAUGCAAGCUUGGCUUCAAACUUUUGAAUCACUGGCAUCCAAUCAGAUUUCAGCAAUUUACUACCUCUGAGAGGGAGCCCUAAGUAUUUGAAGGGAAGAGAGGAGAUCUUGCAGCUCAACCAAGAGGCAUAAUCCUCUGCAAAGGUACAGUGAGGACCAAUGAUAGCAACAGAAAUUUUUUGAAAGUUGAUGGCAAGGCCAGAAGCUAGUUCAAAGGAGUAAAGAAUCAAUUUGCGAACAGAGAUAAAAGAAAUUUUAGCCUUAAUCAUCUGCAUCUUGCAGAAUAAUCAUCCCUCACAAAAAAUGCUGAUUUUGGAGUCCUUCAAGUAAAUUUGCUGCAGCAGCUUUAUUCAGCAUUUUACAGCCAAAAUGAAAGAUAUGGGGACAGCGGGUCACCCUGCCAAACCCCUCUUUUACAAGAAAUCCAAGUGCCUUGUCCCCAUUAAUCAAAGCAGCUGCCUCAGAGGAAAGCAGCUGAUUUUUAAUCCAUCCACACCGUUUAACAGGAAAACCUCUGGUUUUUAGAAGUUUCAACAAAAAAUUCACAUUCAUCUUAUCAAAAGCUUUUGAGAAGUCCAGCUUGCAUACCAGACCAGUACAGGAGUCUUUUUUGGCAAGAUGGAUUACUUCAUGAGCACAAAGGAUGUUGUCAAGAAUAGAUCUCCCUUUGAUGUAUGCAGUUUGUGCAGGAUCAAUUAAAGAAUUUAACAAAGGUUGAAGACAGCUGGUUAACGCUUUUGAGAUAAUCUUAAUGCAAGAAUGAAUGAGACUUAUAGGCUGAAAAUCAGUAGGAUGGGAUGCUGCUUCAAUCUUUGGAAUUAAGGCAUGAAAAGCAUAGUUGAUCCAGGAGAUGUCCAAAUUAGAUUCAUACAAUUGCUGACAUAAGGCCAGAAGAUCAAAUCUUAAAAUAUCCCAAAAAUGCUGAAAGAAAAUCAUCGAAAAUCCAUCAGGGCCCAGACUUCUGUCUCCCUUGAAGCUGAAAACAGCUCCUUUAAUUUCCUCAAGAGAGAAGGGGAGGUCCAGUGAAGUAAGAUACCGAAAGUGAGGAGAGUACAGUUGAUCCCAAAGAAGAUUGACCACUGAAUCCUCUGGUUUAGAAAAAAGAUCUUUGAAGAAAUCGGUGACAGCAUCCAAAAUUUGAUUUUGAUCGAGAAGAAGCUGACCAUUCCAAGUGAGAUGAGGGAUCCAAUUGCACUUUUUAUGCAAGUUAGCUAUUUUAUGGAAGUAUUGGGUGUUAUUGUCACCCGCGUUCAACCAUUUUGUUUUGGCCCUUUGCUUUCGGUAGAUCUCCUCAUCUCUAUAAAUUUGGAGAAGAUCUGAUUUCCAUUUUGCCCAACAAUUUCUUUCUGAUGGAAAAAGAGUUGAGAUCUCCUCUUUCUUAUCAAGGUUGCAUCAGCUGUCACUGUAAACUUCUUCAAAUCCUUGUUCAUAACUUCAGUCAGAUAUCUUUAAGAGUCCUGACAUCUUUCAUGACCCUUAAACCAUAGACCUCCUGUAUCGUUGUUAUGAGUAUCUAAUAAUAAUUAGUUUGAAUCCCAUCAAAAUCUAUAUUUGACACCAUAUAGAUCACCAGAAGCCUCUCCAAAUUCUUUAGACAAUUUCAACAAAGUAGCUUUAGAUUCUUCCCUUCCACUACCCUUCAACACAAUUUUGUUGAACAAGUUAAUCUAGAGAGAAGCAUAAAUUUAGACUUAUGGUGGGCCAACCACAACAUUCCUUUAGGGUUUGGAAGUCAAACCACACUAUUUGUUAGGUGUGUCCAUAUGUGUAUAUGCAGAGAAGACAUGGAAUUCUUAUAUAGGAGGCAUGCACCUAGAAAGACCAUCCUACGUUACACUAUGGCACUUGAAAAGAAAGAAAGGACUUAAACCACACGCAUGAAUUUAAGUGAUCUAAAGAAAAUUUGUACAUCAAAUAUAUGGACUUAUGACACAAUUGCUAGUCAAUAAAUUAAGAAUGUAAAAGGAAGAAAAAAACAAGAAAAUGCUAGAACUAUUUUAAUUUAACUUUCUGAGAAAAAAACCAAUAAAAACCAGAAAACAAUCAUAUCUCUAGUAAGAACGCAUAAAAGAACAAGCAAUUAAACCACAUGAUUGUUCAUAUGUAUUAUAGCCAGACCCAAAAGACUACAUCGAAGGGAAAAACUCUAAUUUUAUUUGAAUUUGCUUAAAACAAUGCAUCAACUUUUUUGAAAACAAAAUUUAAAAAAUAAAAUAAAAUGAUAAUAAUCCUAUAAGCUUAACACCCAACAACCAGAUAGUUAUUUCAAUAUCUUAAAAAACAAAUGAAUUCUAGUAAAUUAAAUCAAAAAGCAAGAAGAUCCAUAUGAGUGCUAGUACAUACAAACGAAAUAUCCCAAAAAGAACAUGUUUUGACCGAGUAAAUUGGACGUUCCAAAGAAAAUAAAAUUGCCUACAAUCCACGGAAAGCAAUAAAAUUCCCAUUUUUUCAUUAGUAUUUGGAUAUCCUCCACAAAUACACAAAAUUCACAAGAAGACAUCAAAUUAAGGGUAAAAAACGUUUUUCCCCUCUUUUUUGUCCAUCUGGGAUCGAUUUUAUACCUAUAGAUGAAGGUAUCGAGGCCAGGGCCGACGCGGCGCUUGCAGAGGUCACAGACCCUGAGGAACUGGGCCGUCCCGGCCAACUCGAAGUCGCUGAAGCUCCGCCGCUGGACGGUCCUUGGUUCCGCCUCCCUCCGGCGCUCGUGGCUGCGGUGCGCCCCCUCGUCGUCCGACGCCUCCGCCGCGGCCGCGAGGUCCGCCGCCGAGAACUCCGUCACACUCGUCGUCCGACGCAUCGGCGGCCGCGGCCGCGGCCGCUUCCCCAGGAUCAUCUUCUACCAGCGCCGCCCUCUCUCCCUCCCCUCCUCUCGCUGGAUUCGGAGAGCGCGGAGAGACGAAGGGAGAACGAAGAAAGCGGGGAUGGGACGCGGGAGGGAAUGGCGCGAGGAGGGCGGGGAUUUAAGACACGUUUGGUUUGCGGAAAAAUAAAAAGAUAUGGAGAGUUCGAAGAGGAGAGAGGAGGAAGAAAUAUUUUUAUAAAAAUAAUUUUUUUUAAUUUGUAAAAAAAUUAUCAAGAACAUAAAAAAUAUUUUUUUAUUAAUUAUAAUUUAAGAUUUUUUAAAAAAUAAAUUUAUUGAGAGUAUAAUAGAUAUAUUAUAUAUUUUUUUAAAAAAAAUACUCAACCAAAUAUAAAUCACUUUGUAAUGUAUUACUUUUUUAAUUAUCAACCAGAUAUAUUAAAACUAUUUUUUUAGAUAGCUUAUUCUUAGAAAUUAUUUUACUAAAAAAAAUAUUUUAGUGAGAAAAAAAUAAUUUGCGAACUAAAUGAGCCUUUUACUUAUGGGCAAAAAAGACUUGGGGAGAUUAAAAAAAAAAUCUCAUUUGGAUUCCACCAUCCAUGCAUUCCCGUCAUCUUUUAGAAAAUAUUAUUUAUUUAGAGUUUUAAUUUUUAUUCUUGAAGGUAAUUUGAUUACUUUUGUUUUAUUGUUUUUUGGUCCAAGUGAAUAGGGCUAACCAGAACCCAUGGUAAGGGACAGUAUUUGCCAAGAUCAGCCUUCACUGCAUGGGCGUUAUAACGAUCAUCCAAGUUGCUAUAAUAAAAAUAAUAAUUAUCUAUCAAAGUAUUUUAAUUCAUCUAGUCAUUAAAAUUUUAAAGUAUUAUUUUAUUUUAAAAAAGGACAAAAGUGUUAAGUAAUAGUUGUUAUUUAAAAUUUAGUUCUUUUAGUUUAUUAGAUUUUAUUAUUUAUCUUCAUAACAUAAUAUGAGAUAUCUGAAACUAUUACAUUUGGGCAUUUUUAAUGAUAUGGGCACAUGGUAAUUGAUGGCCAAGACAUAGUCAAUUAAAUAGAAUCUAAUGAGCCUGGGUCCAUAAUUUUAACCUGAUUAUGUCUCUAUCAACCUCUUUCAUGGUGGAAGAAAUUACACAUAUGGAUGAUUAAAGAAGUUGUAACUACAAGCACAUGAGUAAGGAAACAACUUAGAUUCUAAUGAGUAAAGAAGCACACAGCAAUUGAUCGCUUAGGUGAAUUAAUGAUGGAGUUUAGAUUGCUUUGAGAUAUGUGUGGUGGGUGAACCAAUUAUGGUUUUAUACAAAGGAAGGUGAAUCUUUCUUUUACACAAAAAGAUACAACCUCAAUCCCUCUUUGAUAUGUUCAACCUUCAUCUACAGCUACACUUGCCAGAUAAUGCACAUAGGAGAUUUUUAAUCUUCACUCACACUUUCGCGAAGCCUAGCAGAUAUCAGUGAUAAUAGAGCAAUAGCCAGUCAUUUAAGAAAUUAAUGCCUUUCAAUACAACAAAUGCAAUAGAUGAGGCUUUGUUAAUCAAAACUUCAGAAUUCAACUUUUUCCAACAAACCUGCGAAACAACGGUAGUAAGCAUGAAGAUGGUUGAUCGCGUAUUGCAACGGAUCUUGUUCACCAAUUAAGCCAAAUAUUUGUGAAUGAAUCAGGAGGUUGAGACACUUCUAAUCAUUGACAAAUGGUAGUCCAAAUAUUCAAGGUAAGAAUACAUUGGACAAAGAUAUGAUCCACUAUUUUAAUUCCUAAUGAUUAUCUCUUAUAUUGAGCUUGUUAAUCAGGCAGAGCCAAAGGAAGAGGACUGAUGAGAUCUAGCGACCAAGGUCCAUCAUUCGCAACACUUGACUGACUGGGUCAUUUACCCUUUUGAUAUAUAUAUAUAUAUAAAGAAAAGUUUCAGCUUUCAAAGUAGUCAUCUCUCCCCUUAUCUGGGAAGAAGUUAUUACGUGCUAGAUAUCGUUAAAAAUUUAUGCAGUUGGAAGUCAAUCUACGUAUUUUUUUUAAGCUUGAUUAUGUGAUAGCUGUUAAUUAAUAAGAGAAGGGUUAGUCGCUAAGUCCAUGCAUACAUAGAUUGCAGACCAUGGAAGACAAAGGUCCAUUUCCCAAACCUUGAAACAUUUUAAUAAAUUUGUAACAUUAAAUUAUUGUAGUUCCAAUAAGGAGAUCCUUUCUUGGGGAAGUAUUUACCUAAAUCUCCAAAAUUUACCACCUUUUUAAUUUAUUUUUUCUUUUUUAAGGAUAUUUCUCAAAAGCAACAUAGAUGUCAACUGUGACAUGCAUAUUGAAAGCAAAUUAGAGAUUGCAAUAUGCAUUAUUUGAGGUCGGAAGCACUUGUCAAAUUAGAUGAUAACAGGAUAUAGAAGAUGAGAUAGUGAAAAUUGAUCAAGGGAAACCACAUUGAGCAAAGCAAUAAAUAGAAAUGUUAGGGAUCUUUUUGGUAUAGUUGUUGAUUUUGUAUUUUUUUUGUUUCAUUUCUAAAUAGUGAAAUAUCAUAUGUAUGCAGAUGUUGAAGAUAGCAUUUGAAUAAAACUUCUUCUGCUUUUUCUAAAAAUAAUAAAUCUUUGCUGCUAAAAGCUUUAAAAUUUUUAUAAGCAUUUUAUAAAAAUAAAAAAAUUUUCAACAUACAUGUUGCUGGGUCAGAAUUCUUGAAUUUUUGGAAAGAAAACAAAAAAAAAAAUCAAGAACAAUACCGAAUGAGCUUCGAUAGAUUUUCCUUGAAUUGAAAUGUUAAUAGAUUUUCUAGGACCAUGAUGUUUUAAGAGAGUAAUGCUAGGGGCUGAAUCCCACUGUGGAAAAUUUUAUCCAUGCCUCUAGCAUACCAUGUGACACUAGAAGCUUGCCAUGAGUGAAAGAUUUGUACAAGGAGUCAUGAUCUAAAGCACCAACCUGCCAUGCGGUGUCUAAUGAUGGAGGAUUUUUUUCAAGAAAAAGAGUUGGACCUAGGCACCUAGCAGCAACGAUUGCAACAUGUUUUGCCUUCAUUAAUUUCCUUACUAUAGUUAAUUAUACAAUUGUAUUUGUGUAUUUUCUUUCCAUUUUGCUCUAAAUGACCUCUUGAAAACCAGUCCAUCUCAGUCACUAGUUGAGCCAUGAAACCUAUUCCUUUUCUAUCACCAUUUGAGUUAUUUAGACUAGUGUAUAGCUUGUGCAGUGGUUGGAAUGCAUUUUUCUUUCUUUCUCUCAGUAAUUCCUUAAGUAUAAUAUAGAAAUAUAAUAAAAAUAUAUUAAACAAAAAAAUUUAAUAGCUAAAUUUUUGUUGCGUAUUAAACAGAUGAGUAUAAACUUUUGCCAUUAAUAUUGAUGUACCGGUAUCUAUACAGCAAAUAGGGAACUCCGCAUGAGCCAAGCUUUCAUAGAAAUGCUCGUCAUUAAUUUCAGCAUCAACAAUACCAGUUGUUUGCGAUGCAUAAGGUACAAUUUUUUUCUUUUUUCCAACUAUUUUUGAAAUUGUAUAUAAUGGUACAAAAAAAUUAUAGUACAUGGCUGCAAUAACUAAAUUUAUGUUGUACAUUGAGUGAUAAACUUUAAUGAUAACCAAGCAAAAACUCAUAUCAAAUAUUUAAACUAUUAUAGUAAUAUCAAUUUACAUAGUAUAACACUUAUAUAUUUUAGCUAGAUAAUAUUCUCAAGUAUAAAUUAUAUCAAUUCUAAAAUUAUCAUUGAUGAUUAGUAAUAAAAAUAGUAAGAUGCUCCAUCAUCUAACUUUUCAUGAAAUGGACAAAUAAUAUAAUAUUCAUAACACAUAUUUGUUCAUAGUGUUCAUUAAAAUCUCUUUUCAUUUUAUAUUAAUUAUACAUGCCCUCCUUCUUAUCCAAAAUAAAGAAUCAUAUUAAUGGCAAUAUUAAUACUGUCCAGAAUAAAGAACCUAUUAAUAAUAUUAUUAAUACGACAUCCAUAUGGUCAAUAAAGAGCUCAAUACAAGACGAGUCCCUAUUUUAGUAUAUAUAAUAGAUUUAAAUAUUAGGAAGCAAAUGCCAUGAGUUAUUUAUAUCAACAUUUUUAACCUAGACAUCAUUUAAACUAAUAAGAGCAUUCAUCCUGGAUAAGCUUUCUUUAGAUGUCAUAUUGUGUUCUAUUGGUUUGACUUCUACCAUAUUGGGUGGUUUAUUUUAAAAAAGAUCAACACAAUCAUCCUUUAUACUAGUUGAAAAAAUGGCUACAAGGCAAGGCAUUAUAUGAGAACAUGAUAUCAUCGAAUCUAUUAUUCUAUGUGCAAAUCCAAAGGAAGCCUGAUACACAACAAACUCUUGCAAGAGGUCGUGGUAAAAAAUGGCUACGUCGAGCUGCAUUACAUGGUACAUGCAGCUCACCGAGUUCAAACAAACGGUUCACACUAGACCCGGUUCAACUCGCCCGAUUCUCUUUCCGGUUCAACUCGUUUCUGGAACACAUGAUGUCAUCCUAUCCCCACAGCCAAUCUCGCCCGCUCCGCGCUCGCCGCCCGUAAAAGUUUUACUGAAAGCCGCGUGGGGCGGUAAUCAUACCUUCCCUCUCUGUCCCUCACCUCCCGCCGCGUGAAUCCCCACCGACGCCAGCUAUCAUCACAUCCCCCGUCCUGGUCCCCUCACCACCCACCCGUAGCUUGCCAGCCCAAUUCGAUUUCGAGAACCGGAUGACCUUCUUUAGUGUUUAUGAUUAAUCUCACCUACGGUGACUGGAACCGCAGCAUCUUCAUAAGUAGGCACCACCCUGGGCUUGUUUAGCGCUCGCAUCACUCGUUACCCUAUUUUGAGUCUCUUCACCGCGUCUCAGUUAGCUAUCCCUGUUUAGAUUGCCGGCGAUGGCGAAAAACCAGAUCCCGACAUUUGCGGCGUGGGCUGUCGCGGCGGUGGCAGUGGCGUUCUUCCUCCCGGCGGCGGUGAGUGGGGCGCGCGACGUGAAGGCGGCGGCCAACCAGCGGUUCGUCGUCCAGGGCCGGGUCUUCUGCGACACCUGCCGCGCUGGCUUCGAGACACCCAAGACCACCUACAUCGCCGGUAAGCUCGCCCCGCCACACCAUCUCGCUACUGCUUUGGCUUGGUUUUGGACUCCGGCCGUCGGAUCGCGGCGGUCUUCCGGCCGGAUCCGAUGAGAAACGCGUCCCAAUCGUAGGGUGGGAAGUGUUUUACUAGGAAAUAGGUGGGAAACGUGUGGGGGCCCGAAGCGGCCCCGGAUCCUCGCAGAGUUGGAUCUUUUCUUUCCGUAAAUGUCGUUUCCCACGAGUUUCCGCACCUGGUUCGCCGUUUUUUUUAAAAUAUCUAGAAUAAAGGAGUGAAGAAAAUGGAGGCAUAACUAUAUUCUAGCAUUUUGCUGGAAUAACUUUAUCCAGAUUUGAUGGAAUACGUGCUUCAUCAUCGUCCUCCCUUCAGGGCUAAGGUUCUGGUGUUUUUCAAAAUAAAGCGCAAUAAUAACCUGGAAAUUGUCUUCUGUGGUGUCCGCAGGGAUUUAGGUUUAUUUCAGAAUUAGAUCUCUCUCCUGUGUGUCACGAAUGCCAGUCGGCUCUCUAAGUUGUAGGACAAAAUCCCACCUUGUGUGAAUGGCGAGUUUCGUCUUAGAACAAAACACAGUAAUUUCUUUGAUGUAAAAGAAGCUGCAUUCGUCUUGGCUUGUUUCUAUGUUCAUAUUUUAAAAAAAAAUUGGGGGGGGUGGGGGUGCGUUGCAGGUGCAAAGGUGAGAGUAGAAUGCCGAUCGAGAACCACCGGUGCAAAGACAUGCAGCUUCGACGGCACAACCGACGGCAGCGGCGCCUACAACAUCCUGGUUGCAGAUGAGCACGAACACGAGACAUGCGAGGCUAUGCUCGUCAGUAGCCCGGUGAAGGGCUGCGAUAAGAUGCUGGAAGGCCGGGAGAGGGCUCGUGUGUUCCUCACCCACAACAAUGGCAUUGCAUCAUCCAAGAGGUUCGCCAACUCCCUGGGCUUCCAAAAGGACAUCCCUUUGGCCGGCUGUGCUCAGCUGCUCGAGAUGUACCACCAAUAUGAAAAUGAAGUCUGAGGUUCAAAAGAAUAUCGAGACUCUGCUCCCGUUAUAUGUAGCCUAAUAGCCCAAGGUUCCUUUCUUUGCUGUUGUGAUUGCUCUGCCACCUUAUUUGGUUCUUUUAUUUGACAAUUGGUAAAUCUAUCUCGCCCGGCCUUGAUGCGUAAUAUUAAUUAUGGCAUUUGUCAAUGGUUGCUUGAAAGGUUAUGGCAUUCCAAGUGCAAUUGUGGGUUCUAUUCUUUUAUGUUUUAGGAGAAGAGGGUGUGUAAAUUUCAGCUUUAGAUUGGAUCCAAGCUGUUCCUUUUGGUUUGUGUGGGGGAAAGGUUUGAUCUUAAUGCAAGAUCUGUGACAUUGCUUUAUGUUGCAGCUUGAGAUUGGAUCCGACUUGACUCUUUUUGGUUGUGGGAGGGAAGGUUAUAUAUGACGCAUUAAUUGAGUGUUUUUUUUUUUAAAAAAAAGAAACGUGUGCGUGAAUAUUUUCUGCGUCCGCAUGUAGGUUUAGCAGCCCUGGAUUGGCAUCUUCAUGAAAUCCAAUUUAUGUUGGACAUCUUGGCUUCGUUUAUUUUGUUCGGCUAUGAAAGAUAAAAGAGAUAAAUGAAGGAAAAUAAGGACAAAAAUCUAAUAAAAAUCAUUUCAUAAUGUAUGUUAAAAUUUUCUUCUGUUCCUGAUAAUGGUGCUAGUAGAAUAACAUGAAAAAAGAGAUUAGUGCAAGCUCAUUCACAUCGUUUAGUCUGCUUUUCCCAUCAUUCUUAGUCCAAGCAAAAGACAUUAUUAGCAAUUUAUUUUUUCCUCGGUGGAAAUAUUCUAGUUUUAUUCAGUAUUCAUAAUUAUUAUAAAUAUAUAUGGAUACACAUAGGAUAUUAUAAAUAUGGAUAUAAAUAUAAAUAUAAGGUGGAUAAUUAAAUCAAGGUAAUAAUUAGAUACUAAUGCGUUCAUUUAUUUUCUUCAAAAGUUAAUGAAUACCAUAUAAAAUUAAAUAGAGUUGUAAAUAAAAACGGAUAUUGAGAUAUGAAUCGAACUAUAUAUCUAUUUUUUUUAAUAAAUACUUUCUAUCUAUAUGUACAUAUAUUUGGAUAUGAAAAUUAAUCUAGAUAUGAAAAUUGAUCUCUAUUAUCCUAUUCAUUUUUACCUCUAUCCAAAAUACUUUAUAUUUUAUAUUAUUUUCUUGCUAUCAAUCCUGUUGGUUGAAUAUGUUCAUGCAUAACUUUUGACUACCAAUGGAGAUAUGAAAAAUAGGAUUCAUCUAGGUAACGGUCACCAAACUUACUGACAAAAGCAAGGGCAAGGUUCCUUAAAAUCUUGCUUAAUGAUGGAUUGGAUAACCAUUAAACCAUCUUCUGCAAUAGGCUCGGCCCUGAGAAGCAUUUCCACAAUCACUUCAUCCACGCUUCCACUAAUAUCACCAAAAUUGAAAGGCUGUCCAAUAAAAUGAAAGCUCUACAAAGAACCCUAGCAAUCGACCAACCGAAAAAAUAAGACAUUGCCGUGAUGACCGUUGCACCCACUAAGGCCAUCCUACCCAGGCUAAGGAAAUCACCACGCAGGGCCUUCUCUUACACCACCACAAAAUCCCAUCAUUCCCAGGGCCAACAACCCCCCAGAUCCCACAACCAAUUCGUUGCUCUCCUCGACCAAUGCAGCGCCUUCCACCAGCUCAAACAAAUCCAAGCCUCCAUCACCACCUCUGGCUUCCACACCGGCCCUUUCCUCACCGGCAAGCUAGUAGAGACCCUUGCGCUCCGACUCCGCCACCACUCGGAGGCCCUCCCCCAUGCCAUGCUCCUCUUCUCCCACUGCCCCCAUCCUCCCAACCUCUUCACCUGGAAUACCCUCAUCAGAGGCCUCUCACUCGGUCGCGCCCCUCAUCAUGCCCUCCUCCUAUUCGCGUUAAUGCUCCAGUCACCUUCCGUGAUGCCCGACGCCUUUAGUUAUGCCUCUGCUUUCAAGGCUUGCGCCCGCUCUCUUGCUUGCAGGUUAACCAAAGUAAUCCAUGGCCUCGUAGUGGUGAACGGAAACCAAUCGAACAACUACGUUGCCAACACUGCGUUGCAUGCCUAUGCCUCAUGCGGCGAUGUUGCUUCUGCAAGAAUAUUGUUCGACGUGGUUCCCUCUUGGGAUGUCGUUGGUUGGAACGCAAUGCUUGCAGGUUACGUCCAAAAUGGUCUUCCGGAUGAAGCUUUGAAGCUGUUGCGUCGGAUGCGGUCGGAGGGAGUUGAGCUGACCGAUGUGACUGUCAUCACUGCCCUUACGGCGUGUGCUCGAACGACAGAUCUUUGUUUGGGGGGGCAGAUUCAUGGGCAUGUUGGCAAAAGGACCAUGCAAUUUGAAAGGGAGAUCAUUGUGGGCACUGCUCUUAUAGACAUGUAUGCGAAAAGUGGGCGUUCGGAGUUGGCUGGACAAGUGUUUGAUGAGAUGAAGAGAAGGGAUACUGGUGUUUGGAAUGCUCUUUUAGGAGGCUACGUGUACAAUGGUUGGUUUGCUGAAGCUUUGCGAUUUUUUGAGGAACUGCAGGCAUCAGGGCUUAGACCAGAUGAGCUGACGUUGGUUAGUGCAUUGUGUGCUUGUGGACAUCUGGGAGCGCUUGAUGUUGGAAAGAACAUCCAUUCAUAUGUGGAAGAAAGAUUUCCCCACUUUGAUCCUAUACUAGGAACAGCUCUGAUCGAAAUGUAUUCAAAAUGUGGGUGGAUUGAGGGAUCGCGAGAAGUGUUCAGUAAGAUGGAGAAGAAAGAUGCCAUGGCAUGGACGUCAAUGAUCAGAGGGCUUGCAGUUCACGGGUAUGCCGAGGAUGCACUCGAGCUGUUUUCGUUGAUGCUGAGGACGGGCCUAAAGCCAGAUGGUGUCACCUUUGUGGGCGUCCUAUGUGCUUGUAGCCAUGCUGGUUUGGUUGAGGAAGGCUCGCACUACUUCAGGUCCAUGAAGAAAGACUAUGGCAUUGCUCCAAGAGUUGAGCACUACGGAUGCAUGAUUGAUCUUUUUGGUAGGGCUGGCCGGCUACGGGAAGCUUUUGAGCUGGUAGACUCAAUGGAAAUACAUGUGAAUGCCAUCAUUUGGAGGAGCCUUCUCAGUGCUUGCAGGAUGAAAUUGGAUGUUGAAUUGGGUGAGAUUGCAGUUAAGAAUUUGAUGAAGCUAAGAUCGGACCAUUGUGGGGAUUACGUGCUCCUUUCUAACAUAUAUGUGGCAAAGGGGAGGUGGGAUGACGCAAGGAGAGUAAGGGAGCAGAUGAAGAAUGGGCAGAUAAAGAAGAAGCCUGCUUUUAGCUUGAUUGAAUCAACUGAGCAGUUGGCAAAGGGAGGCCCUUUGUUUUCCAAAGCUGAUCACUAUUGCUUUGAUUCAGUGUAAAUUUGACAGAUUAUACCCAUUAGAACAAUGAACAGCUCAAUUUUCAGCGGGUCAGGUGAAGUCAUGGACUAGAAAUGGGGUUUCAGCUACCAAUAUCAACAGUCUUAAAACAUCUACUUACGAACUGUAUUACCAUGCUCAGGAGUUCAAAGAACUUGAGGAUUGAUGAAAAACCUGCACUUUCUAGAAUAUUUAUUUGGUAAGGGAGCAGUUAGUCAGCUGCUCGGUGAUUAACUGAUUAUAGCUGCCUCCAUACCUCAAAAGGCUCAAACAUCCUUGCAACUCUUAGAUAUAUGUCUAAUUCAUGAUCUGAAUUGUCUGCAUUAGUUGUCAGCAUAUUUAUCUACUCGCUGACAUACACAUAUUGGAAGUGGGAGUGGAAGACCUGAAUCAUAGGUUCAGCUAAACAUAUAGGCUCGUCAGACCAUAUCUUUGGCACUCUACAAUGAUUAGUCUCAUAUAUGUGUCGUUGUGAAUUUUUUUACUAUAUUUGACUUCCAUCUAUCUACCUUCCGCGGUAUAAUUCAGGAUGCUGUCACUUUUCAACAAUCCUUUGUAAAAAGAUACCAGUUUGAUGUUAACAAGGAAAUAAUGGCCAUUGGCUUUGUCGGAAGUGUUUAGACUGGCUAUGCUGCAAAAGGUUAGUAGAAUGUUCAGAAAAUUUUUGUUGUGUGAGAUAUUAUAAGAGAAUUUAGUCUUAUUGGAAAGUAUAGUUUUAAUCAUGAUGAUGUUUUUUCAGUAGGAUGUCUGUUGCAAGUAAAGCUGAUGAUGGGUGAACGCUAUGGGUUCAUCUGCGGAACCCAAACUGUAAAGUGUGAACCUUAGAGAAGGUCAAUGCAAGCUGUUGAGUUUUACGAACUCAGGAUAGGAACUAUAUAUAGAUAAGGGCGUGAAUUCCUCCGAGGCCUUCAGCCAAAGUUGUACUGUUAUUUACAAUGGGGGUGGAAGAGGAGAAGCAGAGAGAGAAUGGUGAGAUCAGGGUUGGUCAGAGGCCCAAACCGAUCUCUGAAGCUCAGUCUCUCAUGGAAAUGCCAAAAGGUCCGACCCUUAUCAUUAAUUCUAGGGUUUCAGUUGUUGAAUUCCUUUAUUUCUUUCUAACUUUGCAAAAAUUCAACUCAUGUAUGGACUAAUUUGAGUUCUACAGGAAGAAAGCUUGGACUUUUAGGGUUUCAGUAAUGUUUUCUGUUAUAAUUUAGGAGAAAGAAGCCUUGUGAUAUGUCAUUUCUCUUCUUUGUUGGGAGAAGCCUAUGAUUUAUGACCUGAGUUUUUUUUAUUUUUAAAUUGGUGGAUCUUUGAUGUUUUGUGAUGCUUGUGCUGGAUGGUAGCUUAUGAUAAUUAAUUGUUUUCAUGCAUUAAAUAUACAAGACUCGUGGUAAUACUUGUUUAGUAGUAGUAGUAGCUCCUGAUUCUUUAUAUCCCAUUGUGGUCAUUUAGCAGUGCGGAGGCAUUGUUAUUGUGAUAAACUUUAUGAACAAAAUAAAGUGUAAUAUGGAAUGAUAUUUUUCGUUCACCCUCAAGGUUGGUUUAUAACUUUAUAUUGUAGAGGAGCACUUGAGAAAAUUAAAAGAAUAAAAUUCAGAAAACAAAGUUUAUGGAAAAUGGGAAAUUGUCAUCAAAUUUUUAGUUGUAGUAUCUAAGUAAGAUCUGCGGAAAACAAAAUUCAGAUAUCAUUUCAUGGAGUAUAUAUCAAUUCAACGAACUAAAAAAGGUAGAUUUUAAAAUAAGCCAUAUGAAUACUUCCUCACCUGCUUGUAAAAAGGUUCCACCUAUUAAAGACUGGAUACUUGUCUUGAAAGCUGUGUUGCAUGGACGUGGAAACAUGUCCAAGUGCAUGAUUUGGCAAAAGGAAGAAAAGGAGACACGGGUAUAGACAAGAAAGAAUAAUUUUAACUAAUAUAUAUUUAAAUAUAAAAUUAUUCUAAUUAGCUGAAAUACCAAUAUGAGAAAAAAAUAAAAGGCACUAUUUGUAAAGGUCUUUCAAUGUGCAUGUUUUUCAUCCAAACUUUCUACUUAGCUGAAAGAUUUUAGAGAAGUGGCAUUCUAUGAAGUUAUUUUAAUACCUAUCUUGCUGAUGAAUCUCUAAAAAGAACAAAAGCUAGCUUGUAGAUUUUUUGUAGUGAGUUGAACUCAUUGGAGUCCAAGUCCAUACCAAUUCUUAAAAGCUUCAGUUAUAAAAAAAAUAGAUAAGUAUNNNNNNNNNNNNNNNNNNNNUGCCUAACNCUUUAACUGAUUUGGCUACAUAUUGACUAGGAUUCUAGGAGCUGGGACCAUUAGUAUCUAGGUAACUCAUCUUGAAAUCUCUUUGAAUACUAGAUUGGAAACUAAUUGCUUGUACAGUCUCCUGUGUGCCUUGUAAUGGUAGAAAAAAGGUGGUACCAACUGUAUUUUCACCCAUCUUUGUUAUGUAAUUCCUUAAAAAUUGUGCACAUGGUUGUUCUUCAGUGUAGGCAAAACUAUUUGAAGAAUGGAAAAGUUAGAUCAUUAGGACUCAGAUCUUAUAAUAUUGGGCAAUAUUUUUUAUUCAUUGGAAAAAGUUCAGCUCUGACCAUAUCCUUUAGCCUUACGGCACAUCACAUUUGUAUCUAAACUUAAUUCUUCCAAUACAUUGAAAUUAAGUGAUCAAUUUACAUAUUCCAAGCCAAGUCAAUGAUUCGAAUUAUGUUUAGCUAUGGCUACUUGGUGGGAUAAAUUUGCAGGGUAGAUUGAGUGGCAUUUGAGCAUGCAAAUUUCACUUCAGGCAUGAGUUUGGAUGCUGCUGUUUGGAUUAAGACAAGUGUACCAAUGUGUAAAUCAUUUCUGUAACUGCUGAUCUUGCCUUGCAAUUCUCCAUCCUGAAAUGUGGUCCCUUGCCUGGUCCAUUUUGAUUUCUAUUUGAGUGCAGUUCCAUUGAUAGAUUUGACUGGGUACUUUUUUUUAUUAUUGACAUUGUUUUGGAUAAAUAUGAGCAUAAAACUCUUUUCCUUUAUACUUUCUCUGCUUUGAGGAUUUGGCAAGUUGGUUUCUUAUGCAUACAGAUGUUUAAAGCUAUCUUGGAAUUUCAAUCCCUGCCAAAGAAACCAUUGGUCCAUGUCUUUGGACUCUAGAUUUACUAUGAUAUCUAUUUGGCCUGUGAGGGUGAAUGACGUGGGCUUCCUAUGCUGUCUUUCUUUCCUCUAGCCUAAUAAGAUUACCACUUAGGAGGGGAAAAAUGCUUUACUCCUUGAUUUUAGAAGGGCUGCCAAGUAAUCUACAGUGUGAUCUACAUGCGUCAAAUGAUAUAGCUGCUGCUUUUAACUAUGUUCUUUCUCCCUGCAGUCAUCAGUAGGUUGAUAUUUAUCUGUAGUAGUUCAAGCAGAUCUUGCUGUUCCUUAACAUGCAGGAUGCUGAAACAUCAGCAAGAAAAGCUGAAGCAGCUCAAAAACGUCCAGAAGAUAUAGCUGCAGGAAUGGUGCAGAUGAAUGGCAGAGCUUUUCCUCGACCAACCUUGGGUCUUUGAUAAUGCUUGUUAUUGAGGUUCUUGAGGUGAGUGGAGUGAUAGAAUGCAACUUAUCAACAAUUUGUGCUGCCCAUUUUUUUUUUUGUUGAGAUAUUUGUUGUCUUCUUGUCAUAAUAUAUGAAGCAAAUGGAAUGCUAUAUAUAUGCAUAAAAAUACCUUAAUGUCACGAUACACAGAAAACUGCAAAUUAUAGUAUGGUUUAAUUGACGAACCCAAAUUUGACUUUCAACAAAGCCAAUUAUUCAGAGUCUCUGCAGCCUGCACAACUUAAUUAUUAUGAAUAUCUUCUGCCUCAAGCCCAAGCCUGAGUGGCAAGUGAACUGAAAAAAAAAAAAUACCUUUUUUCCAGAGUCAGGUUUUCUUUACAGAAGAUGCUAUUAGUACAGCAAGUGGAUUUUCUUUAAAUUACUUCUCUUUUCUUUUCUUCUUUUUUUUUUACAUACCACGUGUCUCUAAGCAUCCAGUCUUGUAACUAUUUGCUGCAUUCUUUAAAAUGGAUAUUACAUAUUUAAGAAUCAAUCAAUUCUCUAUUUUCUGUAAUAUCUUGGUAUUCUCGCUAUUGUCCACAAAUAGUGAUAACAUUAACAAAAAAUUGACCACCACAAAAAUAAUAUUCCAUUAGAAACAAGGCAAUCUUCCUCUAAUAUCUAGGGAUUUUUCAAAGCCCUUCAGUUCUUGGAAGGAUAAGGAACUAGGGCAAGUUAAGUAGCCAUAGAAGGAGAUGAAGAUGCAAGUAGUAGUACUUAGAUUGCUUAGCUUGGGCUAGGAUAGAAAUUCUCAUGCAAACACCCAAUCAUGGAAACCAUCAUGUUUGCUUAUUCAUGAUGCAACAUUCACCUUUAUUUGUGAGAAGAAACAUGACGAAAUACACAGGCAGAUAGAAAUUUCCUUCACAGACAAGAUAAACAGAAGAUCCAAUGCCAACACAGAAUCUUUUUAUGGGGCACCCAAACCUGAGUUUUGUCUGCAUGCAUGAAUUCUGAAGGAUAGUAAAUUUCUGAUCAGUGAUUCUAAGUUCAAUUUGACAGACAUUAUAGAUGGAACAUAAUCUGUUUUACAAUUAAAUCCUUUCGUGUAAAUGCUUUUGAAGGAAGGCUUAAUAUUUAAGUCUGCCAAAUGGUUUAUCUUCCCAGAGUAUUCUCAUUCUGGGGUUGCCUAGUUGCCAAUCUCUAAAUAUAUAGGAUUUAUCAACUACAAACACUAGAGAGCAAACUUAGGACAACCCCAACCCCCAGCACAAUAAAAAAAAGUCACCUAAAUGCAAAUACAUAUUCCUUCUUUUAAUGGGGGAUGUGUUUAUUGGAUGAAUUGAAAUAGGUCUAUGCCCAAAUGUUCCUGCCACAUGUAGUUGUAAGUCCUGUGAAAGAAGUUGGUGAUUGUUUAUAUCUGGUUGUAUCUUGAUGCAAGAUCCCGACAGAUAAGGUAAUGUAUACUUGUGAUGUUAGGCCAAUAAAACUAGUUCAGAUCAAAUUUUGACCUGAAAUUGGUCUAAAACACAACAAAGAGCAGUAGAAAAAGUUAAUAGCAGCAGAAAGAUGAGUAUAGAUAUUCCCUCCAUUUAUUACAGAAAGAUAUCAGAGAGAAAAUAGAGGGAGGGAGAAAGAAAAGAAGAUCAUAAAGAAGAAGAGGUUAGAAGAGGAGCAACAUAGGCUCCUCUGGAAUCUUCGGCACUCAAAACAGUUUUAAAGACACACAAAGCAUUCCUAGAAAAUGAGUUGACCGUUCGCUCCUUGUAUAAGGUAACAGGUUCCUUCUUUUGCUAAGCUGUUAAAUAGAGCUCCAGUUACAGGAUCAUUAAUUACAAGCUCUCAGCAUAUUUAAGUAUAUGUUUUAGAUUACAGCAUUGGCAGGCUCAAUUUGAAAGGCCUUGAAUCUACAUGAAAUACUUAAUUGUGAAGCAGGAGGAAGGUUUGAGUAAGAAGCAACCUGUGCCAUGAGAUGGUGGUCUAAAGGGUUGACUCAGCAUACUAGAUCAUAUUAGAUCAGCAUAUUAGAUCAUAUUAGAUCAGCAUAUUAGAUCAUAUAUCAAUGAAUGGAAAUGGGGCCCUAACAACAAGCAGAAACCAGAAAAGAAAGGGAUUGAUAUAAAUCUCUGUAGUUAUGCUGCAAUAAAAAAUUAUUUACCACAAGAUGUCAUAUGAUUGGCUCGUUUCUUACAUUAGACCAUCACUUGGUUGCAGGAAUGGGGAGCAGGUGUGAGUGCGGGAAGCGGAUAUUUGAAAAAAAAAACACUGGAAGUACGGAUGUGGUUAGUAAGCAGGUGCAGGUGCAGGUUCAAAGCCUGCGAAGAUUCUGAAGGGAGUGCAAUGCUUGAGAUAGAGGAUUCCUGCUAUGAAGGACCAUCACUUAAGGCAUUCUCUUGUGUCAGGAUGCAAUGAGUUCUGUCAAUGCAUGAGUGCAUAAAAACAAAUUAGCCUUAUUGUCAGUAUAACAGAGAACCCUCGUAAUCCUACAUGAGUACAUUCUUUUUCAUUAAGAUUAAUUAGGACCAUUGCUGGCCAAAAAAAAAUGCAAAAGAAUUACGUUGCUGAACAAAACCUUCACAGAUAUCGUAAACAAUCAAUAUGAAUUAAUCACAAGAAAAUGCAAAACUAUUCCCAGUUGGUGCACUCAAAUAUUUUGUUGCAAACAGAGCAUUAGUUUGGUUUUUCAGAUUUCAAACAAGGAUCAAUUAUCCAAAUAUCUAUCUCUCGUUCUCUUCCAGUAUUAUUAGCUCAACUGGAUAUAGGGAAGAAAAUUUAGUAGGACUAGAACAACUCAAAAUGAGAUAGGGUACAUGCAUAAAUGCUAAAUCGAUGGUUGGAAAAUUGUUUUCAGCUGAAUCAAGCAAUCAAAAGAUAUAGCUUUCCAUAUGAGACAGUAUAUAUGCAUCCAUCUUUGAAAUAUGUGGACAACGAUCAAGGUUAGCCAUUUGAUGGCGCACUCUGUGCUAGCAUAAAUGCAUGCCCCACACACAACUUGCAUAUCUCAAGCGCUACCUUUUAAUUGUUACAACUAAUGCAGACCAGUAGCUGAUUCGCAUCAUUCACCUUGCGUCACAGGCAAGCUGUAGGUUAACCUCAGCAAACUGGAAAAUUACAUGUCAGCUUUGAAACUUUUCUGGCUGAAACUUUUUUCCAUUCUAUGCUAUGAAGACAUUAGAUCAUCUACCCACUCCAACUUCUGGUUAAGAUCAAACUCACCUCGGACCAGUUCCAGUGAAACCUGAAAUGCAGACUCGUCCAACUUCCAACCAAAUCUGAGAUAUGAGCACAACCAAAAGCAGCACUGGUAUCUUACGACAGCCUGUUUGGUCACAACCGAUGAUAUCAGCGAGCAACAAGAAGCCACCAUAACAAUGCCAACAUACAAUCAUCACAUGAUACUUGCUGCCAUCAUCAUAACAGCAUCGAACAACAAAAUUAUUAGAACAGGAUAGAAACCGCAUCAAUUGCUCCCAAGAAAAACUUGGGAGUACUCUAAACAGAAUGUCGUAAAAGAUAAUAUUAGAAUCACUUAAUUCAUCAAAACCAAAGCUCUCUCAUGUGAUAAUACUCCAAGUCCAUUCAUAAGAAGAUCAGUAGUAGGUAUCUCAAAAUGACCUAGGACAAACAAAACUGCAAGAUACCGAAAAGCAUAUAAUUGUUUUAUCCGAUGCAACCAUCAUGUAAUAAUAAAAGAGAAGCCCCAACCUACGCCACCAUCGAUCAAGCACCCAAUUUUGCAUCCAGACCCCAGACACAGAAUUGGACUCACAUCCACGAAGACGACGAUAACUGAUGACACUAAGACUACUAGCGACCCCAUGCCCCACCAAUGCUGAGCUCUUCUCGGUUCACUUCUUCUUUACUGCCGAUUUGGUGACUUUGGCUCCCGUUGGAUCCUUCUUCUCCACGCUCUCGAUGACGCCCACUGCAACUGUCUGCCUCAUGUCCUGGACAGCAAACCUCCCUAAAGGAAGAUACGCAGAGAAAGUCUCCACAACCAUGGGCUUGGUGGGAAUCAUUUUCACAAACCCAGCAUCACCAUUUUUCAGGAACUUUGGUUCCUUCUCCAGCUCCUUACCAGACUGCUUGUCAAUCUUGGUCAAUAUCUCAGAGAACUUGAUGGCGAUGGGAGGUGUGGCAGUCAAGGACUGGGGCAUAACCAUUCCCAAUCUGCCCUGGAUGGUUCAUUAUAAUAACCUGCGAGGUGAAGCUAGCUGCCUCUUUGGCUGGGUCGUCCUUUGAGUUGGAGGCCACAUACCCUCGCUUCAGAUCCUUGACAGCAACAUUCUUGACAUUAAAGCCAACAUUGUCUCCAGGAAGGGCCUUCUGGAGAGCCUCAUGGUGCAUCUCCACAGACCUGACUUCAGUUGUGAGACCAGAGGGGCCAAAAAUGACAACCAUUCCAGGUUUCAGAAUUCCAGUCUCAACACGCCCCACAGGAACAGUUCCGAUACCUCCAAUUUUGUAGACAUCCUGAAGGGGAAGGCGGAGGGGUUUUUAAUCUAUACUCCUAUAGGUUUUUUUAAUUGCAAAAAGUCAGCGGAAAGUGGCUAGUCCUUAUUUUCUGAUUCCAAUAUUAGAACACAGGAAUCACAAAUAGUAUGAACAGUUUUAUUAUUAAAACGCAAGAAAGCAAUCAUAUUUGUGGAGUGAAACAUCAGUAGAGAAGGCAAGAAUUAUUUAAUGCUUCUAAUCACAAACUCCAGUUUUAUACAGGAUUAGAUGAGGUUCAGAUUCAGACCGAGUCAAACCUUAAAACACUAUAAUGGCAGUGAAUCCAUUUCAGGAGUGCUAAUUAGGAAUGCUGAUGAGAGGCAAAAGAAGAUGUCAGAAGAAAUAAUGUGAAAAGUUAGGAAUAGCAGUCAAACGUCUGUAAUAUUGGCAAGAUUUUUUGAAUAAUAAGAAACAUUUUGCAAGCAGUAAAGAAAAAGAGAUCAUUUGCUUGUCUCAUGCAUUCAAAGUGCAUUUAUUACAAAAAAAGGCAAGUAGUAUAACUUUUCUCAUAAUAUUUUAAAAGGUCAACUGAGUCUUUAAAUAAAUAAUUUUGUUUAGCAUUGAAGUCUUAAUUCAAAUUAAAUAGGGAGAUCCAGAUGUUCUAUAUAGCUCUGAAGCAGGAAAAUCACUUUAUCAUUGCAUUCUUUGGCAAACUCCUCAGGCCUUUGGAUGGCUACUUUCAAGUUUUCUUUGCUUCUUUUCUUUUCUUGUCUUGUCUUUCUUUUUUUUUGUGCUUCCAGUUAUCCCUUCAGCCCACUCUCCAUCGUUCUCUCUUUUCUUUAGAACUGUCUCAUGCACAUAUAUAAGGGGCUCUGGUUCCUCAUCCACCAUGAUGGUAUAUUCUUCAGAGAAGCUUCUGUGAAAAUGGUUUUCACAGAAAACUAACUUACAAUGACAGAAUUGACAAAAAAGGGAAGAGGGUUCUUUGAUGAACUAGAAUAUUUAAAACAAAAGCUCAACAAGUAACAGGUGCAAAGAGUUGACAUAUUUCUGGCCAACAGAUAGCUAGAUAAACUUGUGAAAAUACUCAUAUAUUUAUGAGGAAAAAAAAAGUUCAAGAGAUUUUCAACUGCAAGGAAUAUACCAGGAUUUGUCAUUAUCGAACAUAAUGAUAUCCUGGGCCUAUCCCACCUCGAAUAACCAGGAAUUUAGCUCUUAGACUUGGGGCAAAAGAGACCAAAUCUCAUUCCAAAAGUACCACAUGCCACCCAUUUCUCAUCGAUGCUUUAACUUUUCUGCAAGUAAAUUUAUAGACUUAGCAUAUAACCAGCAAUAGUUCCGAUCUGAAAAUUAAUAUAGAUCUGAUCAUACAACAUGAACUAUGUCUUGUGAUACAAAAAUCAUUCAUUUGUAUUUAAGAAAGUGGACACUUGCGAUAAUAUAUCAUAGGGUUAAAUUCAUCAAUUUUAACUUUGAUGAAUGACCUUUAGUUACGAUUGAAGAAAAACAGAAACUCUCCCCACUGAUGCUUUUCUGUAUACAUUAGGACUCUUGUCAAAGGCUCUUGAUCUGCAGAAUAAUUUAGAAUUUCCCUUUCCUAAUAGUUUACUAGAUCCGGACUCAAAAUCAUCAAGACUAUCAUCCUCUUCCUCUGUAAUUCGAUCAAUAAGGUCAUCCAUCUUAAAAAUAAUUAAGCAUGAAGUAAUGAAAUAAUAAUCUAAUCAAAAGACAGCAUACUAAGUCGCUAAACAAACACUAUAUCAUUCAAAAUAAAACAGAAAAUUGUGUAGAUGAGUAUCUUUUAGUUCCCAGUAAUUAAUGAACUAAAAACAACAACAAUUAUUCUCAUAGAUGACAAUGUGUUCCAUUAAUUUCUGACCUACAUAAUUAGCCCUUUAAACUUAUUUACAAAUAUUUUCCUUAUACAAUAAUGUGGUGUGUGGGAAGGAAGCAUAGCAAUGUAUGGCAAUUAUAAAUAUCACUCUAGAACUAAAAGCUAGAAGUACCAUCAUCAUAUUAUACAUCAGGGAAUUAAGCACCUCGGACAUUUGUAUCUUAAACAUACGUCGUACAUCAAUGCUUGACAAUGCUUGAGUUUCUGACAAAAUAGUUUGCAAGUUGAUGUCUUACUAGAGAUGCCAGCAUGGCAUUAUCUUAUCUAGCACGUUUUGCUGCUAUUUCAACUUUUUAUUUUUUGAUGAAAAGGAGGUUAAGGAGGAGAGCCCCCAUAACCACCACCUUUACUAAUGAAUAAAACAAUUACAGUUGGAAUUCACAAGAAGAGAGAGUAUUGAAAAGAAAAGAACAAAGGCAGUAAGACAACACAUCUGAGAACAAAAGAGAUGCAAUACUUGGACAUCAUAAUAAACAGAAGCUGAAUAAAAACCAUUCCACCUGCUGAGCCAAAAUAGAAAUCAAAAGGGUAGAAGUAAAACCAUGCCAACAAGAUAUAAUUUCGCACUAAAGUGCAUGAAACAGUGAUAGAUUGCCAUCAAAGAGACCUGAAGGCUUCUUUUUCCACCAAAACAGAGCACAGAAACAUUUUGAUAGAUUACUAGUAAGAGAAGUUCUGAAAGCUCCAGAAGGAGGGAAAGAUGCUUAGCUUCAGAACCACUCAUAAAUAAAGCAAGAUGAUUUACAGAACCACUGUUUCAACUUUAACCCCCUUUCUUUGACAAAAAACACCUAGUUUGUGAACCUGAGACUUUUAAGUCACCCGACAACUGCAAGCUGGAAAUUUUGAAGUGCAAGAUCUAACAUCUGUUCUCUUUUUCCUUUGGUAAUAAUCCAUAGGUCGAAAAUAAUUAAACAAAGGCUAAAACAGUUCAGAUGUUGGAUAGGAAUCAAAUUUAAGCAUCAAGCCAUUAGACUUCAUAUUUCUAGGAUUCAUUGUUAAAAUUUUAGUAAAAAAAAAUCAUAUUAUUCACCACAAUAUCAGAAAAACAUGGAAAUUUUGACUAUUCAGUCAUAACCUUCGUGUUACAUGCAUAUUCCUAGAAAAUAUAAAGGUUUUAAUCAAAAAUUUUGAAAAAAUAGGGAAUCGCCAAUCCAAUAUAACAAGAACAAGAAGGAAAACAUUUGGAAUCUCAACAGUAUGACUGAGAGAAAGAAAUGGAUGUAUGGAAGAAGGCCUCACCAAGAAGGCAUCGAAAGAGAGAUUGCAUUAGUUCCCACUUCCACUAAUUUCAAUUGAGGGAAUUUGCAGAAGGCCCCUCUUCAACUCCUUUCUGCACAGAGGCCUCCACCUUCUCCAGUGAGACCUUCUGCUAAUUCUUGGGCAUAUUCAUAUCCCUUAUUACUUUGUGAAGCCCUUGUAAGAAUGUAACUUAGUGCUAAUUGCCGAAGAACAAGAAUUUGUUACACAUACUUUAGGAUCUAUUAGACUUGGUCCUUGAUCGGAUAUUCCUGUGCUAGAUUUAGCAUCCUUACACCACCUUUUCAGGUAGUAUUUCUGUGGAAACUCCUUGAUAUUCAUGGCAUCAAAUGCUUUUAUAGCAAUGACAACAGUGAACAUCAAAAUGGUUAGACUAUACGGAUACAAAUUCUUUUACAAACUCAAUCAAUCAUUUACAAUUAUAUCUUGGCACAUUGCUAUGCAACUCAAUCAAGCUGCAAGUCUCUGAUGACCCUAUUGCUACUCUCUAAUAAUGAAUAUAUCUGAUUUGAAAGAGGAUGAGACCUAUCUCCGGAAAUAAAUAUGUGAACACUGUCAUGCAUCUCUAUCCAACUAUAACCAGGCUGUUUUAAAACCCUAUGUUUAUCCAUCAUUUCCCUUAGUUUAAUAGCAUCAUCCCACCUCCCCUCAUCUGCAUGCAUGUUGUAUAGGAGUACAUAUGGAGCAGAGCUCUCUGGUUCAAUCUCCACCAAGGCCUUUGCAGCUACCCGAGCCAAUUCCACAUUAUUGUGAACCCUACAAGCACCAAGUAAGGCUCCCCACACUGCCUUAUCUGGUGGGACAGUCAUGCUAUUGAUCACUUCCAUUGCAUCUUCAAGCUGCCCAUGUCGGCCAAUGAGGUCAACAAGUGAAGCAUAAUGUUCGACUCUUGGCACAAUAUUGAACUCAUGAACCAUGGAAUCAAAUUCCCUCCUUCCCUCAUCCACUAAUCCUGCAUGGCCACAAGCAUUCAACACAGAUGUAAAUGUUAUGUGGGUUGGCCUCAUCUUCCUCCUCUUCAUAUCUUCAAAGAGCUCAAGAGCCUCACUUGCAAACCCAUGCUUUGCAUAGCCUCCAAUCAUUGCAUUCCAUGAGACAACAUCUCGCUGCAUAUCCCUUCCAUCAAAAAUAGCCAUUGCAUCCAUCAAGUUCCCACACCGUGCAUACAUUGUAAUGAGCGCAUUAUUUAUUGGAAUGUCUGCUACUAUUGUCUUAGUAACAAGCUGGUGGAUUUGAGUUCCUAAAUGCAGUAUGGCAAGCCCAGCACAAGCACUAAGCACCGAAGACAAGGUAUGCCGGUCCGGUUUCUCUCCAACCACUUGCAUCUUCGAGAACAACUCGAUGGCUCCUUCAUAGUCUCCAUUUUGCUCAUAUCCAGCUAUCAUUGUAUUCCAAGAGACAGUGCUCUUUUGAGGCAUCCUAUCGAAAAAUUCUCGUGCUUGUUCCACCUCGCCUUUCUGAGUAAACCCACAUAUCAUCAAGUUCCAUGACCUAGCAUCUGGAUCUGGAAAUUCUUGGAAGAGUGAUUGUGCCUCAUUCAUCUCCUGUGCUUGCACGUACCCUGUGAUCAUUGUGUUCCAUGAGAACAAGUCCCUUUCAGGCAUCUCAUCAAAGAGAGCUCUUGCCGAGCAAAGAUCCCCAGCUUUCACAUAACACAUGAUCAUAGAAUUCCAUGACACGGCAUUCCUCUCGAAACAUUUGAAGCAGUGACGUGUUUUCUUUAUUUCCUCACCUCCUUUUCUUUCUUGAUAAGGUUGGUAAGGAAUCAAAUCGAAUAGUCUUCGAGCUUCCUCAACCUUUCCUCUUUGGCCAUAGCCUGCAAUCAUAGUGUUAUAAGCAUCAACAGCCCCUUCGAUCUUGUUAAUUGUCCCACUCUGAAUGAGAAUUUCUUCAGCCUCUUCCAGUCUGCCAUUCCGAAUGAGACCUGAUACUAGAGCAUUCAAGGAUGCUGCAUCCCGAACUGGCAUUCUCUCAAACAACUCAGUUGCCCUUCUAACAUCACCAACUCCAAGAAAGCCAGUGAUCAUGGUGUUCCAGGAGAUGACAUUCUUCUCUGGCAUUGUAUCAAAGAGGUGCAUCGCCUCGCCCAUCCUCCCAUUCCUCGCAUACCCACUGAUCAUGGUGUUCCAUGACACAGUAUCCUUUAGUGGCAUCUGAUCAAACAGGUGGCGUCCCUCCUUGAGCUCCCCACCAUCCCUGGAGAAGGCAUAGCCAGAGAGCAUGGAGUUAUAGGAUACGACAUCUCUCUGCGGCAUUUCAUUGAAGAGCCUCCGGGCAAGAGCAAGCUCGCAGUGGCGGACAUAGCCAGUAAGCAUGGAGUUCCAGGUGAUGACAUUGCGGUGGGGGAGGGCAUCGAAGACCCGCCUCGCCUCAUGGAGGCGGCCACUCUGGAUGAGCUUGGAGAGGGCCUGGUUCUGCCGACGAAGAGGUUGGGUUUGUCGCCGGAGCGAGCGGUGGCAAUAGCACGGUGGGUGGCAAAGUGCAUCCACCUCCUCAUGCUCUUUUCUUUCUAUUCACUUUUCUUUGGAUUUUGGGAAAGGUUUAAGAAAGAGAAGGCAUUUACAUCAUUUACAAUUGGAUGGCUAAUGGUGCAAAGGAUGAUAUUGGAUGAACCGAGUAACCACAUAACCAAUACAGGUAAGACCUCUAUCUAUAACUUCCAUGUCAAUUUCUGGUUCCAUAUUUCCGAAGUUCUUCCUUGCAAAUACCUUCUUCUACAAAAUUAGACAUGCAGGCUUAGUUUGUCACCAAACCUGCAUAUGCAUGGAUACAAAAUCACACUGAUGAGAAUCAAGAAGCAAUAUAACGUAAGAUGCAUAUAUGGAAAAUGGCAUUAUAUAAAAACUAGUUAAUUCACAUAAUCUUUACUAAGUUAUUUAUACAAAAAAAAUCAUUUUUUCGAGGCAACAAAGGUGAUACCUCACAACUGCUGAAUCCCAUCAUAAGAAGAGAGAAAUAUGAGAGAAAAGUUUCAAGAAUUCAUUACGCAUGGACUCCUGAACUUAUGGGAAGAUUAAAUGAUUGAUUCGCAGCAGCUUUAAUUUCUCUAAUUAAAAAAUUGCUGCUCAAAAAAUUUCAUGAUGCAUAUCAUAGAUAGCUUUAUUCAAAUGACCCAAAAAGGGUUGUCAUAGUUCCAUUACCAAACUAUGCAAACAAUCAUGCUUAUUUUUUUUCCUAACACCAACUUCAUAGAAAGUGGAUUCAACCACACUUAAACCAUUGAUCUUUAAGUUUUAAUCAGUUAAACCCAAACAAAUUACAACCACAUCAUCAAAAAUUCCAAAUCCAGUAUAUAUAUAUAUAUAUAUAUAUAUAAUAACUAAUNAGUAUAUAUAUAUAUAUAUAUAUAUAUAUAUAAAACCUAAUGCCACAAGAAACAGAGUUUCUUAAAAAGUGAGAUAAAAGAGAGACCGGUCGGAGUCGGGACGUGGGAGCGGGAGGCGACAGCAAUCUAAUCGAGAAAGCCGAAGGGCUCUGACGAGGGCCGUGGCGGCUGGAAGGCUUGGGACGGGCUCGGGAUGGGGCUCGUCGGAGGUUAGCGUUUGAGGCCUUGAGAAGAAGAGGGAGGAAGAGAGCUGGUUUGAGACGGACGGACGGAGGUUGUGGAGCUCGGAAUUUGCCCUCCGGCCCAAUUUUUUUAAUAUAUAUCAAGAUCGGGUCCGACGAGCCCGUUCUCAGCUUUGUCCGUCAAUCUAAUCGCGUGAAUCUUACAGUAAGCCGAGGGAUCCAAGAUUCCAAGUCCCGUGCCGAAUAAUCCCGCGAAAAAUUUCUGAACUACUUCAAAAUUUUCAAUUUCAUCCUAAAUUUUAAUUUAGUACAACCACAUCAGUCAACUUUUAAGUCCGUUCAAUUUAGAUUAUUACUAUAAAUUUCAUCCAGCCACCACAAUAAGAUUAUCACAUGAUAUCAUAUGACCUAAAAGCUUAUGAUAGUCAGAUAAAAUUUCUAGCCAGAAUCAAAAUUGAAUAAAUAUAAAAAUUUGAUAAUUUAAUUGGACCGCAUUAAAAUUCAAAAAAAUUAAAAAAUUAAAUAAUUUAAAAUUUUUAGAUGAUUAUUUCUUCAUCAAAAUGGUUCUCCGCACAGAGGUUAUAGACCUUUUCGAAUAGAACAUGAUUCUAAACCUACAUCAUAUAAGUUAAUUUGAUUGAUUUUGGAUGCUAAGUGUCAAAUGAAUUACCCAAUUAGUAGUUUGAUAAUAUUUAACUGUAAACUUGGACCAUAGAAAUUGCGGAUGGGCCAUCCCUUUUUUUUUUUCCGAGGGUGGGGGUCAUAAAUGAAAGGAAAUUAGUGAAUCAGAGCUCCCGCCCGCUCAAAAAAAAUAGUAAAAUUGGCUGACCAAUCAGCUGAUUACUUGCCUUCCAGCAAGAUGCGCAAAGACUAAAAGGAGUAUAGAGAAGAACCCUAAUAUUCCACCGAUAAGGGUGAUUAGAAUACCCAUCUAUCACAUCUCUUUUUUUUCAAUGAAAUAAGUGGUCACUUGCCGUCGUUUUGCUAAAAAUCAAAAACUCGUACAGUAAAAUUCGAUUUGUGCAAUCCAUUAUGAGCACUUUGGCAAGUGCAAAUGCAUGUGUAGAUAAGCAUGGAUGGGGAUAACAAUGUCGAGAAAUCAAUUAUCAUGACUUUUUUUAAAAAAGAAAAAGAUGUAAGAAGUAGUUUAGAGGGGUUUUAUAAGCCAAAUACAUGAUGAACGCUUCUAACUCGACAAACAAUAACAACGGCAGGAGAUGAAGAGCAACCACCAGAACAUUAUGUGAUGCAAUGUGUAGAAAUAUAGAAUGGAAUAUCGUGAAAACACAUAGACCUUUUCUCUAUAGGAUGGUGGUUAUGACUUAUGCAUGGAUACUUCGAAACUUCACAUGAAUGAACUUUUAAGAAUCUAAGUUCGGCAAUAGAACAAAUAUCAUUUCUCUACAAAUUAUAUAUAUAUAUUCAUGCCAUAUUAGAGCCAGGUAACAACAACAACAACAACAAAAAAAAGGUUAUGUUUAACUUAUAUAAGAACCACUAAAACAGAGACUAGAAUAAUAUUUUUAUGCCAUAUUUUUAAAAAUAUAUAUAUUCAUGAUACAUAACUAAUGAAACAUUACUUUGAAAAUUGUGAGGGAGAAAAUCAUAAUAGAGUUGACGUUGACCUUACGGCUAGUUGCUUAUCCCUUUAGUAUAUAUAGUUGGGAUUAAUGAAAUUUAGCAAUACUACAAAUCUAGUAUUGAGAAAAGAGGAAAAAAAUCAUACAUGGGUGUGGCUAUAAAAAAUAUCUUAAAUCAGGUAAAUGCUUAAUCAGCAAAUCAUUGUUAAAGUGUUAACUAAAGUAUUGAUGUGCAACCUUCAAAAGUUACGGUGCUAAAAAAAUUGUAAUGCAGUUACUUGUUGGUGGCUUCUAUGAAAUAAUACCAACCAGCAAUUUUGAGGUAGUCUGGUCAAAUUUAAUAUAGAAGGAUUUGCUUUCAGUUGCAUGGAAAGUUUUCCAUCAAACACAUUAUGCUAAGAUGAAAUACUUACUUAUCGGGGGCUUCUUUAAAAUAAAAAUAGCAAGCAAAUUACAUGUCAAGACCUGAAAAGAUUUGGGUGUUUUCUGGGUAGAAGAAAAGGAGAAAAAACUCUCUACAAUCUCAGGAAACUACAACCAGCAGCAUACAUUGUACAAAAGUAAUCAUGGGAGGGAAACCAGAGAACCACUUAACAGGCCCAUUUAGGUCAGCAGCUAAGUUUGGCAGGCAAUCAGCAACUUGGUUGCUUUCUCUAAGAGAGUAGGAAACCCGAAUAUCAUUAUAAUACAGGCUGCCCUAGGUCUCCUCGCCCUUCAAUUCGUUGAUAACACUAUUGCAGUCAUCUUCCAUCCAAACAAACCUCACCUGGAAGUACCAAACAAGAAGUUGCAAAACCUUCUAUUGGUGGGAAGAGCACCUCCCUACCAAAUAAAUUAGGUACUAAAAUGCAAUACCAUUACUUAUCAGAGGCUUUUGUGAAAUAAUACUAACCUGCAAUUUUGCUGUUCGCCAGCUCCGUCACGCCAUGAGACCAGAUCAAACUUGAAAAAGAAAGUACUUGUAAACCUCAGUUGCAGAUAGAUGUUCCUUACAGGUAUAUAUCAUAUUGAGCAUGGUAGUUGCACAUAGGCCAAUCUCAUACUAAGGAUACAAGACAAAUACAUAACCACAAAAACAAGCCAUUAACACUAAUACAUGGCACUACACUCACCUUCAAACCCAUGCUUCGAGGCAGGUAUAGAGGCGACUCAAUGUGGCAUACCAAGAAAUCAUAUAGGAGAUGAUACUUAUUCAAAGUGAACUAUGACUGGGUAAGUCUGGAAGAAAGAUGCAGAGAAAAAUGAUGGGAGUUGAAAGAUAGUUUUAUUACAGGAAAUUAUUAGCUGUAUUAUUCCAGCUUUAAUGAAUGAAGUGUAUGUGAAUAUUGUAGUGAAUGAAGUUACAUAAUAUAAAUGUGCAUACACAAGAGCUGCAUCCAUAAAGGAUUGUAUGCAGUGACAAAGAUGAUAAUAUUGCCUGAAUCAAACUACAAUAUGGAUCAAAAAAGCAAAUGAAAUAACAUGGUUAUGGAAAGUGGCUUGUAGAGAACUUGUAGGCUUAAGACCCACGAUGUGGAUCCAUAGAAGCCUUUGCUCGAUCAGCAUCAAUCAUGGACUUGAUAUAAAAUUCACCUGCUUUAUACGAGGACCGGACCAUAGGACCAGAUGCAACAUAUCGGAAUCCCUGCAACAGAAGCAUCAUAUAGGUCAUAUUUCAAAUGCAUACAUACCUUAAUUUUAUGCCUGACAAGUCUAAUAAUGUGUUCAAAAGUAUGCAGGCAAUCAAGCCUGAAAUGUGUUUGCAGGUAGUUAAAUUAGUCCGUAUUGUUAAAUUCGUGAAACAUUGAUUUCCUACAAAGAAGGCAAAAAAGAAAAAUUUCUGCCAUUUAGUUUUAAGUUCGCUAAUUCAGUCUUCAUAAAAAUGUGUAGUCGCAAACAAGUGGGACUAACAUUAAGUAAUUAUUCAUCUUGUUCAGACUCAACAUCAAAGUGAUUAUCUGAUCAAUAAGCAUGCAAACUGUAUGUCCAAGAGAAAAUACCAUUUCCAUGCCAAGAGAACGGUACUUGUCAAAUGCUUCUGGGGUAACAUAUUCAGAGACCUGCAUAUGCCGCUUUGAUGGUCUCAUGUACUGACCAAAGGUCAUGACAUCGACUCCAGCUGCCCUCACUUUCUCCAUUGUACUAAUCACUUGAUCAGGUGUUUCCCCACAACCUAGCAUUAUUGAAGUCUUUGUCAGAGUGCCAGGAGGAGCAUAUUCUUUUGCCAUUUUAAGGACGUCAAUUGAUUGCUUGAAAUUAGCACGACGAUCUCGCACCAUGCUCUGCAGCUCUUCAACUGUCUCAAUGUUGUGAGCAAAAACAUCUAACCCAGAUUUUGCAACUGUCCCCACACAGCUGGGGUCUCCUCGAAAAUCAGGAACUGCAUAAUCAUUAAUACAGAUGAAUCAAGGAUGCAGAAAUCCAAAAGAGUGAUUUAAAAACCCAAAUCAAAAGUAGAUCAUGAUGGAGCUUUCAAGUUGCAUCUAGAAGCUGAGCAGAAAACAAUCAUUUGACUAUGCAUGAGAAAACGCACCAAGCAUUUGAAGACUGUAAAGGAACAAUAGGUUUUCACAAGUCACAAAAACAGCAUGUCCUCAGCUAUUUUCUAGAAGAUGAGGCAAUCAAACACCACAAAGCUAUUUUUCUCCAGUACACUGCAGCAUAGCAGGAAUUUUUUAUGCGCAUGAAAAAUUUAGUGGUGCCCUCUUUUCUUCCUCUUCUCUUAUUAAUGAUGACCAAAAUAAUUGCAAGGACAUGAAACUAUGGAGGUCAGAGGACUCAGCAAUGCUGCUCAGUAUUAUCAGAAGAAUUAGAGAAUGGAUGCGGUCAUGUAAUACAUUCAUGCCCAAGCUGCAAGGUGGUUGUGUAUCUAGAUAUCCAUUCUCAUGAUAUUAGUGGCUUCUAAAUGGGUAGGCAUCCAUUUAAAUUUAUUUAAAAUGGCCAUACUUUAAAUUACAUAAAGCAUAAACGAUUCAUACCGAGUGCUUCUAUUAGCAUCUUUGGUUUCAGAUACUUUAAUUUUUGCACUGUUUCAGCAAAAUGUCCACUUCCUUGAUCAGGCAAGUCGUCGCGGUCGACGCUAGUGAUCACCACGUAAUCCAAACCCCAUGAGGCAAUGGCCUCAGCGACAUUAGAGGGUUCAUUUGGAUCUGGUGGAGGGGGAGUGCGUGAUGUCUUUACAUUACAAAAUCUGAAAAUGUGUAAGAUAAAAACAUUAGGAUUUAGAAUAUCUGAAAAAUAAUGGAAAAAAAAAUCAGAUUUUUCAGCUCCAGACCAGCAACACAUGCAAAACCAGAUCAGUAACAGAAUUCAUAUUACAUUAUGUCUAAAACUGGAGAUAAUAUAAUAUUAUCUCUAAUAUGAGCAAAUAUGAAAGGCCAAAUGUAGAAAAAGCCAAUUUUUACCAUAUAUAUCUGACAUCCGAUAUCAUGAAAUUAAAAACCUAAUAGAUUAAUAGCAGUAAUAGUCAUACCCACUUCACAUAAACCAUUGGACCUCACAAUUGUCACUGAAUUUUAUUAUCAAAUUAACAUAGCCUUCAAAAAAUUCUCAUAAGUUUCUCCUCUUCUUGUGAUGAAACUUGUAGCAGGGUUUUUCAAUUGUCAAAUAUGGAAAAUAGUGCUCCAGGAAGUUUUAUGAUUUAAAGGUGAAGCUAAAGUUGAGAUAAUACACUUCUGAACCAUUUAGAGCAAAUACAAGACCAAAUUCCAGCAUACAAUUGCUGUUUUGGAAAAAGGUUCCCUAAAAAUCCGCUUUUAGUCUCGAGUGGCUCUCCCUCAGCACAAAAGAUAACAUGAAGCAUGUGCCACUAAAUUUUUUGUUUGGUUAUUAUCAUCCCCACAUAUAUAAAUGGAAUCCCACUUUGUGUAGCAAGUGAACUGAUCCUAAUAAAAAUAUAAUAAUAAUAAUUAUAAUUUUUUUCCCUGUUACUAGAGGUGCUCUUGAUGGUUUUCCAUCCUCAAUGUAAAACAGACUCUAUUCUCUGUUACCCUGUUGCCUUGGAGAGGCAAGCAAUCCAUUAUGAAUUCCUAUAUUUAAGAAUUGAAUGUGCACCACAAAAUAAGUC
rnacentral:lncRNA from 1 species